rnacentral:lncRNA from 1 species
UUACCGUCCGCGUCCAUCUUCUUCUUAAAGAUCCAUUUGUUCUGAAUAGCCUUGCGGCAUUCAGGUAAUACUUUCAAAGUCCAUGCCAUCUCCCUCUCUCUCCCUCUCCCUCUCCCUCUCUCUCUCCCUCUCCCUCUCCCUCUCCCUCUCCGCCUCUCCCUCUCCCUCUCUCCCUCUCCCUCUCCCUCUCUCUCCCUCUCCCUCUCCCCCUCUCCCUCNCUCUCCCUCCCUCCCUCCCUCCCCCUCUCUCUCUCUCUCUUCUCUCUCUCCCCCUCUCUCCCUCUCCCUCUCCCUCUCCAUUGUGUUUUCAUACAUAGAUCCUAUCUCAUACUUCUUGGCCUCCAGCCAUUUUUUGGAAUCCGGGCCCACCAUUGCUUCUUCAUAACUUGCAGGUUCAUUGUUGUCUAACAACAUGAUUGAUAAGACAGGAUUACCGUACCACUCAGGAGUAGUACGUGAUCUUGUCGACCUGCGAGGUACGUCAGUAACUUGAUCUGAAACUUCAUGAUCAUCAUCAUUAAUUUCCUCCUCAACUGGCGUCGCUUCGACAGAGGUUUCCCCUUGCCCUACUCCACCAUCUAGAGGGAGUAGAGGUUCGACGACCUCAUCAAGUUCUAUCUUCCUCCCACUCAAUUCUUUCGAGAGAAACUCCUUCUCAAGAAAAGCUUCGUUCUUAGCAACAAACACUUUUCCCUCGGAUUUGAGAUAGAAGGUGUACCCAACUGUCUCCUUUGGGUAACCUAUGAAGAUGCACUCUUCCGCUUUGGGUUCCAGCUUUUCAGGCUGAAGCUUUUUGACAUAAGCAUCACAUCCCCAAACUUUAAGAAACGACAACUUUGGCCUCUUGCCAUGCCACGGCUUGUAUGGUGUCGUUUCAACGGAUUUUGAUGGUGCCCUAUUUAAAGUGAAUGCAGCUGUCUCUAAUGCAUAACCCCAAAACGAUGACGACAAAUCGGUAAGAAACAUCAUAGAUCGCACCAUUUCUAACAAAGUACGAUUACGACGUUCGGACACACCAUUACGGUGUGGUGUUCCAGGCGGUGUUAACUGUGAAAUGAUUCCACAUUGUCUCAAGUGAGCACCAAACUCGAAACUCAGAUACUCACCCCACGAUCAGAAUGUAGGAACUUGAUCUUCUUGUUACGAUGAUUUUCAACUUCACUCUGAAAUUGCUUGAACUUCUCAAACAUUUUAGACGUGUGCUUCAUCAAGUAGAUAUAUCCAUACCUACUCAAAUUGUCCGUGAAGGUGAGAAAAUAACGAUAUCUGCCACGCGCCUCCACACUCAUCUGACCGCACACAUCGGUAUGUAUGAUCUCCAACAAGUCACUUGCACGUCCAUUGUUUCGAAGAACGCAUCUUAGUCAUCUUGCCCAUGAGGCAUGGUUCGCACGUGUCAAGUGAGUCAAAAUCAAGUGACUCCAAAAGCCCAUCGGAAUAGAGUUUCUUCAUGCGCUUUACUCCAAUAUGACCUAAGCGGCAGUGCCACAAAAAACGUGGCGCUAUCAUUGUUAACUCUAUAUCUUUUGGUCUCAAUGUUAUGUAUAUGUGUAUCAUCACAAUCAAGAUUCAAUACGAAUAAUCCUCUCAUAUUGGGUGCAUGAACAUAAAAGAUAUUACUCAUAGAAAUAGAACAACCACUAUUCUCUGACUUAAAUGAGUAACCGUCUCGCAAUAAACAAGAUCCAGAUAUAAUGUUCAUGCUUAGCGCAGGCACUACAUAACAAUUAUUUAAGUUCAUAACUAAUCGUGAUGGUAACUGAAGUGAGACUGUGCCGACGGUGAUUGCAUCAACCUUGGAACCAUUUCCCACGCGCAUCGUCACUUCAUCCUUUGCGAGCCUUCGUUUAUUCCGGAGUUCCUGCUUCGAGUUGCAAAUAUGAGAAACAGAACUGGUAUCAAAUACCCAGGCACUACUACGAGAGUUGGUUAAGUACACAUCAAUAACAUGUAUAUCACAUAUACCUGAUUUUUCUUUGGCCGCCUUCUUAUCAGCCAAAUACUUGGGGGCAGUUGCGCUUCCAGUGACCCAUCCCCUUGCAAUAAUAACACUCAGUUUCUGUCUUAGGUCCAGCCUUGGGUUUCUUCGUCGGAUUGGCAACAAGUUUGCCCCUCUUCUUGGAGUUACCCUUCUUGCCUUUGCCGUUUCUCUUGAAACCAGUGGUCUUAUUGACCAUCAACACUUGAUGCUCUUUCCGAAGUUCUAACUCUGCGACUUUCAGCAUCGCAAAUAACUUGCCGGGUGACUUGUUCUUCCCUUGCAUGUUAUAGUUCAACACGAAGCUCUUAUAGCUAGGUGGCAGUGAUUGAAUAAUUCUUUCAGUGAUAGCCUCUUGCGGGAGUUCAAUCCCUAGCUCAGGUAAACGGUUUGAGUACCCAGACAUUUUAAGCACAUGUUCACUGACAGACGAAUUCUCCUCCAUCUUGCAAGCAUAUAAUUUAUCACAGGUCUCAUAUCUCUCGACCUGGGCGUUCUUCUGAAAGAUAAACCUCAACUCCUGGAACAUCUCAUAUGCUCCAUGACGCUCAAUGCGACGUUGAAGCCCCGGUUCUAAGCCAUACAAGACUGCACAUUGAACUACUGAGUAGUCCUCCUUACGCUAUUGCCAAGCGUUCAAAACAUAUUGGUCAGACGUAGCGGGUGGUUCAUCUCCUAACACAGCAUCAAGGACAUAAUUCUUUUUUCCAGCUUGUAGGAUGAGCCUAAGAUUACGAGCCCAGUCGACAAAGUUGCUUCCAUCAUCUUUCAACUUAGCUUUCUCUAGGAACGUAUUGAAAUUCAGGGUUGCUACUGCGUGAGCCAUUGAUUUACAACAUAAAAUAUUGCAAAGUGGACUUAGACUAUGUUCAAGACAAUUAGAGUUUAACUAAUCAAAUUAUUAAUGAACACCCACUCAAAAAAUACAUCCCUCGUGUCGUUUGAGUGGUGCAUGAUCCAAAUUUACUAUCUCAAGUCCGAUCAUCACGUGAGUUGAGUAUAGCUUUAGUGGUAAACAUCUCUAUGCUAAUCAUAUCAACUACAUGAUUCAUGCUUGACCUUUCGGUUUCAUGUGUUCCGAGGCCAUGUCUGCACAUGCUAGGCUCGUCAAGUUUAACCCGAGUGUUCCGUGUGUGCAACUGUUUUGCACCCGUUGUAUGUGAACGUUGAUUCUAUCACACCCGAUGAUCACGUGGUGUCUCGAAAUGAUGAACUGUCGCAACGGUGCACAGUCGGGGAGAACACAAUUUCAACUUGAAAUUUUAGUGAGGGAUCACCUUAUAAUGCUACCGUCGUUCUAAGCAAAAUAAGGUGCAUAAAAGGAUUAACAUCACAUGCAAUUCAUAAGUGACAUGAUAUGGCCAUGAUCUUGUGCUUAUUGAUCUCCAUCACCAAAGGACCGGCAUGAUCUUCUUGUCACCGACACCACAACAUGAUCUCCAUCAUCAUGAUGUCCAUCAUCGUGCCGCCAUUGAGGUUGCCGUGCUAUCUAUGCUAUUACUACUAAAGCUACAACCUAGCAAUAUAGUAAACACAUCUGCAAACACAAACGUUAGUUUAAAGACAACCCUAUGGCUCCUGCCGGUUGCCGUAGCAUCGACGUGCAAGUCGAUAUUAACUAUUACAACAUGAUCAUCUCAUACAUCCAAUAUAUCACAUCAUGUCUUUGGCCAUAUCACAUCACAAGCAUACCCUGCAAAAACAAGUUAGACGUCCUCUAAUUUGUUGUCGCAUGUUUUACGUGGUUGCUAUGGGUAUCUAGUAUGAUCGCAUCUUACUUACGCAAAAACCACAACAGAGAUGUGCAAAUUGCUAUUUAAACUCUCUCCAAGGACUGCCUCGGUCAAAUCCAAUUCAACUAAAGUUGAAGAAACACGCACCCGCCAGUCAUCUUUAUGAAACGAGUUGCAUGUUGGUCGAUAAAACUAGUCUCUCGUAAGUGUACGAGUAAUGUCGAUCCGGGCCGCUUCAAUCCAACAAUACCGCCGAAUCGAGAAAAUACGAAGGAGGGCAGAAAAUCAAACAUCAACGCCCACAAAACCUUUUGUCUUCUACUCGAGAGACAUCUAUGCAUGAACCUAGUUCAUGAUGCCACUGAUGGGGAACGUUGCAUGGGAAACAAAAAAAAAUCCUACGCACACGAAGACCUAUCAUGGUGAUGUUCAUCUACGAGAGGAGAUGAGAUCCACAUACCCUUGUAGAUCGCUAAGCGAGAAGCGUUAAGAAAUGGAGUUGAUGUAGUGGUACAGCUUCGUGAUUCAAAUCACCGUCGUCCCACGAUCCGUUCCGAUCUAGCGCCGAACGGACGACACCUCCACGUUCAGCACACGUACAGCUCGGUGACGAUCUCAGCCUUCUUGGUCCAGCAAGAGAGACGGAGAACUAGAUUAGUUCUCCGGCAUCAUGACGGCGUGCCGGUGGUGGUGAUGAUGUACUCCUGCAGGGCUCCGCCCGAGCACCGCACAAAUCCGAUCUAGAGGAAGAACUACGUGGUAUAGGUUUGAGUUUCCCUUGGCAAAGUUGUGUCUCAAAAGCCCUAAAACCACCAAUAUAUAUAGGAGGAGGGGAGGGGAUAGUCUUGGGGCUCAAGGGAUCCCCAAAGGCACCGGCCGAUUGGGAGGAGGUGGAUUCACUCCCCAAUUCUGUUUGGGGGAAGGAGUCCACUCCUUCCUUCCCACCUCCCUCUUUCCUUGUUUUUUCUUUUCCUUUGGUUUUUUCCACUUGUGGCGCCAUAGCCCUCUUGGGCUGGCCUCACCAGCCCACUAAGGGCUGGUGCGCCACCCUAGGGUCACUGGGCUCACUCCUGGGUGGGUGGGCCUCUCCCGGUGAAUACCCGAAACCCAUUCGUCACUCCCGGUACACUACUGGUAAUGCCCGAAAACUUUCCCGUGACCAAAUGAAACCAUCCUAUAUAUCAAUCUUAAUUUCCAUACCAUUACGGAAACCCUUGUGACGUCUGUGAUAUUAUCCGAGACUCCGAACAACCUUCGGUCAGCAACACAUAUAACUCAACUAUACUAAAACAUCAUCAAACCUGAAGUGUGCAGACCCUGCGGGUUCGAGAACUAUGUAGACAUGACCCAAUACACUUCUCGGUCAAUAUCCAAUAGAGGGACCUGGAUGUCCAUAUUGGAUCCUAUAGGUUGAACGUUUGUGCCAAGGAUUCAUAUAAUCCCGUAUAACAUUCCCUUUGUCCUUCGGUAUGUUACUUGCCUGAGAUUUGAUUGUCGGUAUGCGUAUACCUAUUUCAAUCUCGUUACCAACAACUCUCUUUACUCGUUCCGUAAUACAAGAUCCCAUGACUUACACUUGAGUCACAUUGCUUGCAAGGCUUGUAUGUGAUGUUGUAUUACUGAGUGGGCCCCGAGAUACCUCUCCGUCACACGGAGUGACAAAUCUCAGUCUUGAUCCAUGCUAACUCAACGGAUACCUUAGGAGAUACCUUUAGAGCACCUUUAUAGUCACCCAGUUACGUUGUGACGUUUGAUACACACAAGGUAUUCCUCCGGUGUCAGUGAGUUACAUGAUCUCAUAGUCAUAGGAAUGAAUACUUGACACGCAAAAACAAUGGCAACAAAAUGACACCAUCACAUGCGACGUUCAUAGUUUGGGUCUAGUCCAUCACAUGAUUCUCCUAAUGAUGUGAUCCAGUUAUCAAGUGACAACACUUGCGUCUGAUCAGAAAACGUUAACCAUCCUUGAUCAACUGGCUAGCCAACUAGAGGCUUGCUAGGGACAUUGUUUUUUCUAUAUAUCCACACAUGUAUCUAUGCUUUCAUUCAAUAAAAUUAUAGCAUGGAUAAUAAACGAUUAUCGUGAAACAGGAAAUAUAAUAAUAACUAUUUUAUCAUUGCCUCUAGGGCAUAUUUCCAACAAGUAUGUCUAGAGAGGGGGUGAUAAGACUACUUGGCCAAAUAAAAACUUAUAUUUUUUCGAAUUUUAGUUGUAUGCUACUUUUAGCAAUUAUAACAAGUCAAGCAACACCCUACACAUGAAAGUCUAAGAUUUGAGCAACGGAAAAUAGAGAAAUUGCAUAUGUAUAUAAAGGAGAGAUCGUUGAUGGAGACUUCAACCCAUGAAGGGUUAUGGUUGCACGAGUCCACAUAGGGCUCCACCCAUGAAGGGUCCACGAUGAAGCAACCUUGUCUUUGCCAUCAUGGCAUACAUCCAUGAAGGACUAGCCUCACCUAGGUUAGAUCUCAAUGAAGUAGGGAAUCUCUUUGCCCUUAUAAAAUUAUGGGUUCAGCUUCACAUGAUUUGGAGGCUCGCAAGCGACACCUAACCAAUCUAGGAGACACCACUCUCCACAUGGUGAUAGAUGUUGUGUCGAUGAAGAACUCCUUUUGUCUUGUGCUUCAAAAGAUAGUCUCCUCCACACUCAAUCACUCUAUCACAUAUUUUGGCUUAGUAGAAGAGACGGAUUGGGUGCAAAGCACUUGGGCAAGCUAGAAAUGAAGGACCUUAUGGUUGGAAUGGAAUCCUUUAAUCUCAACACAUGAGUAGGUGGUUCUCUCUUAUAAAAUGGAACUGAAGGUAUAUGCUUCAUCCCGGUUGCUCUCUAUGAGAGUGGAUUGUGGUGGAGGGGUAUAUAUAGCCUUCACCAAAAAUUCAUCCGUUACUACUUUAUGCUCAACUUGGUGACACCAAAAUCAAAUCUGAGUAGGACCAACUAGUGCAAAAGGUUCAAACUUAUGGCUUUUCAGUGGGACCGAACAAAUCCACCCGAUCAGACCAAUUUCUGCGAUAAAUUAAGCUAUUGCCACGUUUCGGUAAUUUCGAUCGGUUCAUCUCGGAAAUUUCAAGAUGAAAUCAAUCAAUUACAACAACUUGGUCACUAUACUUUGGUGGGAUCGAAGGCCAUCUCGGUUGCACCAAGUUUUAUGGUUUGGCUUUGUUUAUUUGUCUUGGUUGGCUCGGUGGGUACAUAAGAUGUUUUCCAUGGGAUCAAGUUUGACUUUAGGGUUUUGGAAAAAUGGAACUAAGAAAGUGGUUGAGAGUAUUUGGUGGAAACUCUCUAAUCACUUGAGCAAUCGAGUCCUCAUAAAAACCUCAUCCCCUCUUAAUAGUAUUGUAUUUCCUAUGGAAUAAGUGUGAUCAUUGAUCACCUAAUGUAAAAUGUAGAGUCUUAAAGAUUUUGCCAAUGUGUUUCCUUUGAAUGUUGAGGACUACACAAUCACAUAUACUAGCCAUGCCAAUCAUUGAAUUUAUCCUGAAAACAUAUUUGAGUACUUGAUACGUCCCAAAUGUAUCUACUUUUCCAAACACAUUUUGUCUUGUUUUGCACUCUAAUUUGCAUGAAUUGAAUGGAACUAACUUGGACUAGCAUUGUUUUUAACAGAACUACCAUGGUGUUGUUUUUAUGCAGAAACAGAAGUACUCAGAUUAGGCUAAAAAUUUAUGAAGAAUAUUUCGAGAAUAUAUAAAAAAUUAUUGGCAAAGAGAACUAUCGAAGGGGGCUACCAGGGAUCCACGAGCUCAUGAGGCACCCACCCCUAGGGUGCGCCAUGCUGGCUCAUGGGUCUCACAGACCUCCGUUUGUCCGAACUCCAACUCCAUAACUACCAUCUCACGAAGAGAAAAAUGAGAGAGAAACUUCCAUCGCAUUCUAUGACAUGUUCUCGAUGCCACCUGUUGUUUUUUAUUGGGGCUGAUCUUGAGUCCAUUUGGGGCUCCAGAGAAGGGGAUUCAUUGUUGUCCUCAUCACCAAACCUUCUCCAUCAACUAUUUCAUGAUACUCACCAUCGGGAGUGAGUAAUUCCUUCGUAGGCUUGUGGACAGUGAUGGAGUUGGAUGAGAUUUGUCAUGCAAUCGAGUCAAUUUGUUAGGACUUGAUCCCUAGUAUCCAUUGUGUUCUCACAUUGAUGUUGAUAUGACUUUGCUAUGCUUAAUGCAUGUCACAAGGGACAGGGUGCCAUGAUUUCAGAUCUGAACCUAUUAUGUUUCCAUCAAUAUGAGAGUGUUUUAGAUCUUAUCUUGCAAGUUAUAUGCACCUAUUAUUUGUUAUGACCCAUGACCCAAAGUGACAAUAGAUGGUAUCUUCUCCGAUGAUGCCCGUAGUAUGAGGAGUUCAUAUAUUCACCAUGUGUUAAUGCUUUGUUUCGGUUCUCUAUUAAAAGGAUGCCUUAAUAUCCCUUGGUUUUCCUUUGGACCCCGCUACCAUGGGAGGGUGGGACAAAAGAUGUCAUGCAAGUUCUUAUUAUAAGCAUGUAUGACUAUGUUUGGAAUACAUGCCUACAUUACAUUGAUGAAUUGGAGCUAUUGUGUAUCGCUCUAGAUUGUGACUGUCACAUGAUGAAUGGCAUCCAACAUAAAUAUCAUCACAAAUUUUUUAGGCCUACUAUUUUCUCUUAUUGAUGUUUGUUAAGUUACUAAUGUUGAUGUUGUUACAAUCAUCACAAAUUGCAAUUAUUCAUGUUCCUAUUACUAUUGCUAUCGUUAUUGAAACCAUCGAAACUAUCAAACUAAUGUACUACUAGACACUAUGCUACAGAGAUAUUAUAUUCCAAGUGUGGUUGAAUUUAUGAUAACCCACAAGUGUAGGGGAACGUUUGUAGCUUUUUUGGUAAGAAGAGUCUCGAACCCAACGAGGAGCUAAAGGUAGAAUUAAUAUUCUCUCAAGUUCUAUCGACCAUCGAUACAACUUUACGCACGCCAGCGCUUACUUUACCUAGAACAAGUAUGAAACUAUUUCGCGGCAAGGAAACAAUAAGUACUUUGUAGGUGUAAUAGAUAGUUUUACUAGGUAAUAAAGAACAAGUAAAUAAAAGUUAGGUGUUGUUUAGAAAGAUUAAUAAGUAAGUUGUUUAGUAUAAAUCUUUUUUGUGUAAUGCAAGAGAAAGAUUGUCCAUAGGCAAUUGAAUAUAACAUGAUAGAUACUUAUCACAUGCAAUGAGGGACACACAUACGCUAACACACUUUCUGUACUUGGAUCAUAUGCACUUAUGAUUAGACCUCUAGCAAGCAUCUGCAACCACUAGAAUUCAUUAAGGUAAACCCAGUCAUAGCAUAAAACACCAAGUCCUCUUUACUCCCAUACGCACACAACUCCCUUACUUAAGUGUAAGCUUCUGUCACUCUAGCCACCCACUGUAAGAAAAUCAUGAACAUACUACAAACCCUCCAAUGUGAAUCUUCACGUGUGCACCUCAUCGAAGGAACCUUAGGACAACACCAUAUCAACGAACAAAUCAUAUAAAUAACAUUAUAUAACAAUUAACCCGUAGGAGAAAAUGAAUCUACUCAAACAUCAUAGGAUAUACGCACAUCAUUGGGUAAUAAUAUAUAGCAUUAAGCACCAUGUUUAAGUAGAGGUUACAGCAAGGAUAAGAGGGUUUACACUCCUGCACAAAAGGGGAGAGAUUGGUGGUGACGGCGACGAAGUUUCUUAAACAUCCAUGCCCACGAUGGCUCUUGAAGGGCAGCAACCUCUCCAAUUGGAUCUCUCUCUGUUUCUCUUCUAUUUUCGCGAUUUUUUUGGCCCUUCACCGUUUCUUACACAUACGGAGAUUCGUAACCGACCGGGCUGAAAUUUUGAGGGUGUUUUUAUCACGAAAAUAUCUUUCUUGCGACGGAAGGAGAGCCUCAACAUACUUAAGGGCUCGCCACAAGCCAUCAGGUUGCCCACCCCCUAGGCCACACCAUGUUGGCUUGUGGGGCCCUCGGGCAUCGUCUUGCGUUGAUUCCGACUCCCAAAAUUCACAUAUAUUCCAAAAAGUCUCCCUAAAGUUUUAUGAAAUUUGGACUUCAUUUGAUAUGGAAUUUCUGCAAAACAAAAAAAGCACAAAAAACACGAACUAUCACUAGGAACUGGGUAAGUAAGUUAGUCCCAAAAAUAAUAAUGUUGCAAAAGUAUAUGAAAAUUGUAGAAUAUUGGCAUGACAGAAUAAAAAAUUAUAGAUACGACACAGAUGUAUCAAUUGACAACUCAACUGCGAAGGAUCAUAGAUAUUGUUUGGAUCCCCUCGUGUCGAAUCAACAAAUUUGAGUGAAAUACUACCAUCGAAGACUAUCACGCCCCCCUAUACUUGUGGGUUAUCUAGACCUUUUUCUGGCGUCAUUGUGGGGAACAUAGCUUUAUUUAUUGAGUUCAUUUGGGAUAUCUAUUGGUCACUAUGAGUAAGUUGAAAGACUCCAAAACUUAGAUCGUUCCCUGUAAGACGAGGAGAGGUAAGGAACUGUCAUCUAGCUCCUCAUUCGAUUUACCUUCUGUUUUGAGUAAGCUUAUGACACCUCCACCUGCUAUUCAAUAUGAUAUGUCAGAAGUAAUAGACACUACUUCUACUAUGGAUGAUGUUCAUGAUGGUGCUACUACUAUGCUAGAUGAAACUGAAACUGUGCCACUAAGUGAAUUGUUCGAUGCUCAUAUUGCUAGAUCCAAAUAAAUUGAGAAUGCUAGACUGAUGAAAUUUUUAUUCACCCAUUAUGCCCAGCUCUCCUACUAGAGUUGAAAUGCGUGAGAUACCUCGUGGUUAUGUGAUCAUAAAAGAUAGUGUCGCUAAUAAAAGAAAUAUAACUAAAACUAAAAUGUCCACCAUGCUUGUAAAUUAUUCUUUUAAGGGGAGUGAGUACCUAAGAAGUUAGGAGAUUGAGGAAUACCCACUAUAACUUGCUCCAUUAAAAGAAAGUAUGUCAAAACUUCCUUAUGUGAUUUAGGAGCGGGUGACCAUCUACUUAUUGAGGAAAUAAACUUCACUAAAUAAUAUCAACUUAAACAAAUUGGGAUAAUUACUAUUAGAGGGUUAAAAUUUCCUCUUCGUACUAUCAACAAGAGAUAUGAAAUUCUUAUUGUUGGGGAAAUGCACAUCCCCAUUCAGGUAACUUAGUGUUAUAAGAAGAUUUUUUGGUUUCAUGUUAUUCACAAACAAAUUGUUAAUAAGGCAUGAUCAAUCGUAUUAAUGGAUUCUUUAUGGGCAUGUGCUCGAUAAAUUUAGUAAGCACAACCUGUUGUACCCAUAGUUUACUUUUUGUUAUUUAAAGGUUUAAUUAAGUAGAAUGCUAUUACCCCAUUUUCUUAAUUAUUUGUGCAAUAAAAAAUGUCCCCAAAAUAAAAGUUCUGGAAAUGACGUGAAAAUUUAGUAUGAUUUUUCCUAUAAUAUAUAUAAAUUUUUGGCACUGAACACACCCUAGGGGGUGCACCUGUGAGCCACGAGCUUGGAGGGCGCGCCAUGCAAGAUGGUGGGUCCCACGGGGACCCACUCAUUUAGUGCACCAUCCCAUUACCAUAUCAUACCUCCCAAAAAAAUCGUCCCUGCCUCCUAGCCCGAGUUCUUACUCAUUUUAAAGUGAUUUUUGAUCUCUUUGCUUUGUACUCUGUUUUUGUAACUAUUUCGAGGAAUUCCUCCUUGGUAUGUAACUCCUCCACUGCUCCAAUUAGUUUUGUUCUAGUGCUUGAUGUUUUGCAAAUCUUGCUACUGUAGGUGACCAUGUAUAUUAGCUUGUUAGAUGGUUCAAAAUAGUUUUGAUGCAUUAUACAGCCUCUAGACACUUGUGGGACUAGUUGAUAUCUUGUUGAGUUUAGUUCCCUUUUAUUUGGAAGGAGUAAAAAUUUCAAAGAAAAGGAUAAAAUAAUGAAGAGAUUCUUGAGACGUUCUUUGAGCUAGAGUUCCAAGGGAACAACACAGGAGAAGCCUAAGUACCAUCUUCCUCGCGCAACCGAGGUGUGAUCGUGCAAAUGGCCAUGCGACACAUUUCUAAGGGAUGUAGGAAUUCAUGAUGAUUUAUAUUAUUUGGUCGACCGAGCCAGACUCACUCCGUUCUUGGAAGAUAAGUGUGAUCAGUAUCUCCUCCUCACCAAUACUUUUCUGCAAAAUUUUCACUUUCAUGCUAGGAGAUUGGUACCCACCGUAUCAUUCCACUUAUAUGAAGAACAAAAGGAAAUGACGGAUGAUAAGUUCUCCCAAGUUCGCAAAAUUCCUAAUGAGGGCAGCCCUCUAGAGCCUCGUCCUAGAUACGUUCGGGAUUUUAUUUUUGCAGCGAUUGUGGGGGAUAAGAUAGGAGUUUCUGGUGCUAGUGUCAUUAGUUUGCAUUUUCCUAUUUUACAUUAUUGUUCAUUUUUUGCUCGUAGGUGCAUUACCGGUAGGUGGGAGAGCAGAACACUCAGCUCGCCUGACCUUGCUAUCUUAUGUAGUGCACUCUAUGGUGAUAGUACUUUUAGUUUGGGAGCUAUUUCCGCACAACGGUUGCACACCAACCGCUCAAAGGGUGUCAUCUAUGGUUGUAUUUAUGCCUGUCUCCUAGAGAAUUUGAGAUUCCUAUUAGGUAUAGGAAGGAUGAGAUCUUAACUACUAAAUAUAUCGAUUAUGGUAUCAGGGUUGGGAAUAACUUUAUUGAUUUUGGUAUAACUUGGUAUUUAGUGAGGAUUCUUGUGAGAAGAUUACUCUACCUGCACAGCCUUUGUUUCAUCUUUCCAGGGGAAGGCACACUAUUAUGGCUAAGGACAUUUACGCUUUUUGGGGCUUGACACCAUGAUACUUGUAAACUGUGUUGGAUUUUUCCUCGAAGAGGAGGGAGAUGCAGCACAAUACAGAUAAGUAUUUCCCUUAGAGAGCACCAAGGUUAUCGAACGAAUAGGAGAAUCAUGCUAACCCCCUUCGACAACACCUACACACACAUAACCAAACACUUGUGCCCAACGCAGACAAGAGGGUUGUCAAGCCCCUUGAACUCGUUACUUGCAAGGAUUAAAUACUGGUAGAUAGAUAAUAGAAAUAAAUAAAAUUAAAUAACAUUAAAUGAAUUGCAGCAAAGUAAUUUUUGAGGUUUUUUAGUUUUGUGUAAGUAGACCCGGGGGCCAUAGUUUUUAGUAGAGGCUUCUCUCUCGAACAUAGCAUACGGUGGGUAAAGAACUUACUAUUGGGAAAUUGACAGAAUAGCGCAUAGUUAUGACUUGAAAUUAACAACGAUGAUAAUGUAUAUAGGUAUCACGUCAAUAAAUAAUUAGACUGACUCCUUCUUGCAUCUACUACUAUUACUACACACAUCGACCGCUAUUCAACAUGCAUCUAGAGUAUUAAGUAUGAAACAGAGUAAUGCUUGGAGCAAGAUGACAUGAUGUAGACACAGUAAGACAAGCAAUAUCUUCACACCCCAUAGUUUUAUCCUUAAUUAUAGCAAUAAAAUACGUGUCAUGACCCUUUCUGUAAACUGGAAUUGAGCAAGGUGAGAUUGAACCCAUCACAAUGCAACGCUCCCACUAAAUAUAAAUCAAUCAAGUUGGCGAAAUCAAACCGAUAUAUCGGAAUGAAAUUCAAACCUAUAACAAUCAUGCAUAAAAUAUUUCAAAGAAGACUCAAUAUAUAUUCAUCAAUAAUCUGAUCAUAAACCCACAAUUCAUCGGAUUCCAACAAACACAUCGCAAAAUAUGAUUAAAUCGGAUACAUCACCACGGGAAUCACGGUGAACCUUGUAUUGAAGAUUAAAGAGGGAGAAGAAGCCAUCUAGGUACUAGCUAUGGACCCAUAGGUCUGUGGUGGACUAGUCACACAUCACCAUGGAGGCAACAAGGUUGAUGUAGAUGUCCUUGAUACGUUUCCAACAUAUCGGUAAUUUAUAAAUUAUUAAUGCCAUAUUUUCCUAUGUUUACAAUACGUUUAUAUUGCUUUAAUGCACUUUAUAUGAUUUAUUUAGAAUUAACCCGGACUAGCAUUGUUUUGAGCAGAAUUACUGUGGUUUUGUUUUUGUGCAGAAAAUAAAUGUGCCCGGAAUUCCCCGAUUUGUUUUUAUGAUUUUUUAUGGAUAAAAUAAUAAAUACCAGAGUGAAGAACCGUCGAAGGGGCCUAUUUGUGGCCAAAAGCUAACAGGACGCGCCCUGAUGUGUGAUGGGGCCCACGUGGCUCUGUUUGACGUGUUUCCAAUGCUAAAAAAUCCUAUACAUACCAAAACUCUCUAUAUCAAAGAAAACCCUAUAUGGAGCCUUUCCAGUACUCUGCCGGAGGGCGAAAUCAUCUCUGGUGGCCAUCUUCAUCAUGUCGGCGGGGGCCAUGAUGAGAAGGGAGUAGUUCAUCCUCGGUGCUGAAGGUAUGUACUAUAGCUAUGUGUUUAAUCUCUCUCUCUCCCUCUCUCUCGUGUUCUUGAGAUGGCACAAUCUUGAUGUAUCAUAGGUUUUGUUAAUAUGGUUGAUCAUAUGGUGUUCUUCCCUUGCCAUCUUGUUGUGAUGAAUUGAAUCUUUCCCUUUGAGAUCUCGUUAUGUUGGAUUGAAUAUUUUGGGUUUGAGAACACUUGAUGUAUGUAUUGCAUGCGGGUACUCGUAGUGACAACGGGGUUUUCUAUUGGUUCACUUGAUAUUGGUUAUGGCCAAACUUGCGGAUUUCGAUGACCUUGGGGAUCUAUGCAUAGGGGUUGGUUGCAUGUUCUCAUUCUACCUUCUCUAAUAGAAAUAUUGGGGUACUCUUUGAAGUUCUUUGUGUUGGAUUGAAAAUGACGAAUUUGAAAUUGUUUGAUGCAUUUCAAAUAAUUAUCCAAUGGAUACUUGAGGUGACAAUGCAGUAUCUAGGUGACAUCAGGAUUGAUUAAUAUGUAUCAUAGGUGUUAUUCUAGUAUGAACUCUAGAGAUGUUUGUGACACCUACAGGAAUAUCCCAAAAGAUUGAUCGCAAAGAUUAACUUUCAGGUGGUUCGCUGCCUACAACAACUUCUUAUUAUGUUCUCCGCUAAUAGGAACUUUGGAGUGAUUCUUUGUUGCAUGUUGAGGGAUGGCCAUAUGAUUCUACUAUGUUACCAGUGUUGAGAGAUGGCACUAUUGAAAGUAUGAACUGUAAGCCUUGUUUCUAAGCAUUAAUAUACCAUUCUUCUCGCUGUUUACUACUUGUUACCUUACUAUUUUUAUUUAUUCAGAUUAUAAAAAUAUAUUUCUACAAUCCAUUCUACACUUGUAUCACCAUCUGUUCGCGAAACUACUGCACCUAUACAAUUCGCCAUUGUAUUGGGUGUGUUGGGGACACAAGGGAUUUCUUGUAUUUGAUUGCAAGGUUGCUUGAGAGAGACCAUCUUCAUCCUACACCUCCCAUGGAUUGAUAAUCCUUAGGUCAUCCACUUGAGGGAAAUUUGAUGCUGUCCUACAAAACUCUACACUUGGAGGCCCGACAACAUCUACAAGAAUGAAGUUGCAUAGUAGACAUCAGGCCUCCGGGAUCGAUUCCCCCUUCGGCAGGGCACCGAAAAAGUUCUCCACAUGGACUCCCAUCGGAACAGAAACUUGCGACGGCAGAAAAAAAAGUAUUUCAGGUGGCUCUUUGUUGGUUUCCUGAUUUUAGAGAAUUUAUGGAGGUGGAAAUAGGUUAGGCGAAGUCGCGAGGGGACAACAAGGAAUUAGGGCAUGUCUACCCCCCUCGACGCACCCUGUUUCCUUGUCGUAUCCUCGUUUGUUGUUUGGUCUCCUUCCGAAGCUUCUAGGUCCUAUUUUGUUCAUAAAAAACCAUCAAAAAGUUUUGUAGAAUUUGCACUUUGUUUGGUACUAAUUUCCUGGAAAACCAAAAAGAAGAAGAAAACAUCAAUUGGCACUAGGCACUCGAUUGAUAACUUAGUUUCCAAAAAUGAUAUAAAAUAGCAUAUGAUUGCAUAUAAAGCAUCCAAGAUUGUUAAUAUAAUAGCAUGGAAAAAUUUAAAAUUAUCGAUACGUUGGAGAUGUAUGACAACACCCGAGCACCUGAGCCUACAUAUCGGUGGGAGGCUCUGGAGCCUUCCUAUUAGUGGGAGACUUAGGAGCCUCACUAUUACCCUCGACCUGAUUAUUUCGAGUUGUGGCCAUAUACCAAGUUAGGCCAAAAUCUUAGGAGUAUGUAUUUCUCAUCGACAUUACAUUCAUGUACCAUGCAUUCAUUCCUGUUGUCGGUGUUCAUCCUCUUUCAUUGUAUAUCCAUGUUGAGUUUUAUUUUUGGUUUCUUUGGUGUGUUUGAAAACUUCCGAAAAUAAAAAAAAUGUUUGUUUUUGGUUUUUCUUUCUUGCUUUUCUAGUUUGUAGUAUUAAAAAUAAAACUCAAACAUAGUUCCUAUUCUUAUUUUUUUUGUUGGGAGAUUUCUUGUGUAAAUAGUUGUUCUCAUUUCUUGUCUUUCUUAUAUUCUAUUUGCUCUCUUCUAAAAAACUAAAAACUCCAAAAACAUUUUAGUAUGUUUCUCUGAUAUUCUUUUCUUUUGUUUGAGCUGUCGUGAGGAGAAGACCAUGUUAAAAUUGUUGAGUGGCUCUUAUAUGCAAUAUUGCUCAUCUAAUAGAGCCAAUAUUACCUUGUUUUCUCCUUCGAAUAAAUUGUUUCGUAGAUUCCAUCUUAGUCCACGACACACUUGCACUAUUAGUAUUUUUACAUCAUUCAGUCAUGCAAGUGAAAGGCAAUAAUGAUGAUGACUUGAUGAAGUCUAUGCGGUGAAGGGAAGUUGGUCCGAACUCUUAUCUUUUUUGUUUUUGUAAAUAUGUUUAGCUUAGCCGAUAUUGAUUUAACAUAUUUUGUGUAAACAUGCUUGUGAUGAAAAUUACAGUUUAUAGUUUCUCAUGCUAUGCUUAAUUAGGUAGGAGUGAAUACCGAUUCAUCUUGUGUGUCAACAUGCAUUAAAAUGAUUGUGAUGUAGUAUGUUGGUAUAGUAUCCUCCUCUCAAUAAUUCAAGUGUCUUGACUUGGCACAUGUUCAGACAUGUAGUUGAUUCAAAACCAAUGUAUCCUUCAUGAUAUUUAUGUUCGAAAUGUUUAUAUCCUUCCCAUACUCAUAUUAUGUGUUAAAAAUUUCAUAAUGCAUGAUUAUGAUCAUUGUCACUCUCUAGUUGUCGGCUUCUCAAUCUAUUUUCUAGCCUUCACUUGUACUAGGCGGGAAUACUGCUUGUGCAUCCAAAUUCCUAAAACCCAAAGUUGUUCCAGAUGAGUCCACCAUACCUACCUAUCUGCUGUAUUACUCUGUUGUUCUAAGUAAAUUUGCAUGUGCCACCUCCAACAAUUCAAACAGACAUUCUUUUUGUGUGCGUGUAUCAGUCAUGUAGCGACGAGGCGGUCAAUUUUUUCCAUGCUAAGCGGGUUAUUCUGAUGAGGGUGUUUAUUCAACUAUCAUUGCACGAGAGAGGUUGGUAAUUGGGAUGUUGAUUCCUGUAAUCAAAAACAAAAAAUGUAAUAAAACAAACUCCCCCUGGAAAGUUGAUUGUUUAGAGGGCACCCAUAAAUUAGGCUAGACAUGGCUUGUGUUUGUAUGGAUGAGUGGGAGUAAAAUUUACCUUUCCGCUUGGGAACCGCUGAUAAUGUGUUUAGCAUGGAACAUAUCAAAAUCCUUUUUCAUAAUAUUCAACUCUGAGCUUUGGCACCUCUCCAAAUCCCUGCUUCCCUCUGCGAAGGGCCUUUCUAUUUUAGAUUUAUUGUUGAGUGAAAACCUUCUCAUUAAAGCACUAACUUUGAGAGUGCUAUUGUCAUUCUUAUGCAUUGAGUAUAAUUAAUAUUGAAUGCGAACAUCAUUGGAUCUAUCUACCGAGAAUUAAAAUGUUUAGUUGUUUCUUAAACUUCAGAGGUGCUCUCCAUUUAUGUUUUGCAGCUUCAGAAAGGGCUAGCCAUAUACCAUGUUAUCAUAUUAUAUCAUGAUUGUUUUCACAAAUUGCUAGCAUCCCAGAUAUCUUAUUAUUGCUCUCUAGUUGGUUAUGUUAUUCUUAUUAGAGGAUAUGAGAUCUAAAUGUUAUCAUUCAUAUGGAUAGUUCAGAAUCUUUGCUGAAAACUGGAACACUAGUUAACCUUAUAUAUAGCUACGAGAACAAAAGAGUUUGUAAAAGUGUUUCUUUUUCACUUUGAGUUUGUCAACUGAAUUGCUUGCACACAAGAAAGGAGUUACGCUUGAGGGAGCUGAUAUGUCCCAAAUAUAUCUACAUUUCAUAACACGUUUUCUCUUAUUCCGAACUCUAAUUUUCAUGAUUUGAAUGAAACUAACCCGGACCGACAUUGUUUUUUAGCAGAACCACCAUGGUCUUAUUUUUGUGCAUAAAUAAGAGCUCUCAGAUUGGGCUAAAAAUUACAGAGAAUAUUUCCACGACAUAUAAAAAAUAGUGGCAACGAAAACUAUCCAAGGGGGCCCACCAGGGAGCCACGAGCUCACGUGGCACACCACUCCCCUAGGGCACGCCAUGGAGGCUUCUGGGACCCAACUCCUGUUUUCCCUAACUCUGAUGCCAUAUGUAACGUAUCAUGGAGAAAAAAAAUCAAAUACAAACUUUCAUCGAGUUUUAUGAGACGGAUUUGCGCCAACCUUAUGUUCUUCAACAGGAUGGCUGACGUGGAGUCCGUUUGGGGCUCCAUAGAGGGGGAUUCAUCGUCUUCGUCAUCACCAACCUUCUCCAUCAACAAUUCCAUGAUGCUCACCACCAGGUGUGAGUAAUUCCUUCGUAGGCUUGUUGGACGGUGAGGGAUUUGGAUGAUAUUUAUCAUGUAAUCGAGUCAAUUUGUUAGGGCUUGUUCCCUAAUAUACACUAUGUUCUCAGAUUGAUUUUGCUAUAACUUUGCUAUGCUUAAGGCUUGUCACUAGGGCUCGAGUGCCAUGAUUUUAUAUCUAAAACUGUUAUGUUUCCACAAAUAUGGGAAUGUUAUCCUAUCUUGCAAGUUAUAUGCACCUAUUGUGUGUUACGGUCCGUAGACCCCCAAAGUGACAAUAGUUGCGAUCCUUUGCGGUGAUGACCUUAAUAUGAGGAUUUCAUGUAUUCACCAUGUGUUGCUGCUUUGUUCCAGUUCUGUAUUAAAAGGAGGCCUUAAUAUGACUUAGUUUCCCUUUGGACCCCGCUCCAACUCGAGGGUAACCAAAGAUGUCAUGCAAGUUCUUAUUAUAAGCAUGUAUGACUAUAUACAGAAUACAUGCCUUCAUUACAUUGAUGAAUUGGUGAUGUUGUAUAGCUCUAGGUUGUGAAUGCUACAUGAUGAAUGUCAUCCAACAUAAAUAUCCUUUAGUAAUCUAGUGCCUAGGCUCUUAUCAUAUUUUUCUUUGCUAAGUUACUAUUGUUGUUGUAGUUGUAAUCAUCAUAAACUGUUAUUGUUAUUGUUCAUAUUACUAUGCUACUGUUACUGAAAGCAUCAAAAGUAUCAAACUAUUGCGGUACUAAAUACUUUGUGCACAGAUAUUAUACUCCGUGUGUGGUUGAAUUUACAACUCAACUGCUAAGGCUCAUAAUUAUUGGUUGGCUCCCCUUGUGUAUGAAAGAAAAAUUGCUCCCUAAGGUGGUUUUGGUAGUUAAGAACAACAUAUGUAUCAUUAAACUAAUGAUUCUAUCCAAGUAUAUUUUAGAAGAUUUCAAAGAUGCAUUGGCUAAAGGAUUGUGAGGAGAAACCCCUUGAUGCAAGGAAAAUGAAUAGGAUUGGCAAAGCUUCAAGCAAGAGGAAAUCCAAUAAUAUUAAAAUGGGGUGACGUACUUAUGAUGAAUUGGUUGCUCAAGUUCUCAGAUAUAGGUACCAAAAAUCCUUAGCAUUUCUCUCACAAAAUUCUCUGUCCAAAGCCUACACAUCAAAAUCGGUAGCGACCCGACUCAACGAGUCAAGCCUCUGGUGUUUCCGUACCAUCCCAAGAUCAUGCUGGUACACACACAGUACAUAAUGUAUAUAUUCAGGAGUGCAAUCACACAACUUUAUUAAUCAAAAUCUCAUAAAGAGUACUUUAUUACAAUAAAGGAGUACAAUAAAGUGGCUGAAGGCCAUCUCAUGAGAUUAUCUAACGAAGACUAAGCGGAAGCAUCAGGUAGACGAGUCCAUCCGACUCCAAGGGCAUGUUGCUGAGCGUAGAACCGUAGCCUCACUCCUGGUCGGAAAAGUACUCUGCAACAUGAUACGUUGCAGCCGUGUAGGUCAGCAUAUUGAAUAUGCUAGCAAAUCAUCAAGAGACGGAGUAAAAUAGUAAUCAACUAUCUCUACAUGCAUAUUUGGCCGGUGGAGCUAAGUUUUGCAUAAAGCCAGUUUUAUCCUACAACAAAAGGGGUCGAAAGCAAAAUAUUACUACAUGUUUGUUGUUAAGGAGAUGGUUCCGCCAACCAGUUCUCGUACCCGAAUAGUUGUUAACACCCACAUCAUUAUUAAGUUGUGUCGAGAGUUCAGGGGAAAUUCAAUGCCUUCGGCUCAAGUUGUCCAUGACCGUGGACACGGCUAAUCGAUUAGGUUGAGUACUCUGCAGAGUUUUGCACACGUUCCCCACAAGAUUUGAUCGCCUCCGGGUUUGUCCUCGCACUUCAGGGUGUUUGAAGACCGGAUGAUCAAAACAUGGUCUUUCAACGGGUCCCUCUGAAUCCCUGUCGGUGCCCAUCCAUUCCUACUGUUCUUCUACAUCUGCUAGCACCGCCUGUCCAGAGUCGCCGCGUUGUCCAACCAAGCCAGAGCCCAUAAUGACUUGUGGCUGUGCAGGUAAGCCUUGAGUCUUGAAAAUAUCCGUCCGUCUCCUUGAGCCUGGGUGAAGCUUUCCGCAGGAUGACAUGGCCUCUCCAGCAUCCCGGGCAUCCACUGGGUUUUCCAGGGAGCCGAUCAACCGUCCUUCACCCAGUGUUGCAUUUGCGUCCGAGGUCUUGAAAAUCUUGUCUUAGUCCGGUCUUGAUUAUUAUAUCAACCUCGCAUCACUCGUGGUAUACACUCAACCGAUACCCGUCUACUUAAGCAUAGCAAGUAUAAUAUUGUCGUCCCGGGGCCAAGUAUCGGGGUUGUUGUGUUCCUACCACAUGAUACUACAACUUACACUAAAGUUUCCAAGUACCUAGGCAGCAUGCAAAUUGUGCAAAGAAGGUGAUCUACUAUGCAUCGAAAACAUAGGUAAAAUAACAUGAUCAAAGAUGACUUGUCUUGAUGAUAGUUGUCCUGCUCAAGCGUCUCUAAGUAACACGCUUCGCACUUCGGAUGAUCUACCGAUACAAACACAAAGCACACCCUAAGCAAUUCAAUCAUGCCACAAGUAAAAAUAACAUCACAUGCAAUGAUUUGCAAAAGACUACGCAAAAGAAUUUAUCGUGCGCCGGUAGGGCAGAAACUUGUUUCUGUUGAAAACACCAGUAAAAAUACUGUAAAAAUUCUGAAACUUCUACCACAGUAAUAUUUUAUCACUAGAAAAUAGUAGCAAAAAGAAUCAACUCAAUAUCAUUUUUCAAACUCCUGGAAUAGGCAAAACAGUGUUUAAACUAAAUCUGCUCUAACUUAUAUUUAAAAAUUUCAAACAUAGACAAAUUAUAUGUUUUUACAAACUGCAUGAAAUUUGUGAGCUACUGGAAAAAGAAUCAAUGUCAAUGGACGUAGGGAUAAAAAGUUGUGGCCAAAACAAAAUUGAAAGUUUCUGUUUUUGUAAACUGGACAGGAAGUUAGAAAACUGCUAGUGCUAAAAGAGAGGCUCACGUGGCAAGUUUCUACUGGCUGCAGUGGCUGUUUGUUGAAUAGCUUCGGGCAAACGGCCUAAGGCUAGCAAAGUCGCCGGUUAAUACUUAAGUGGCAAGAAAAACCUACUGGUUUUCUGAGAAUAACCGAAGGGUUACUAGUGUUCUAAUCCUAGCCAUUGCAUGGGAUUGCAUGGGAUCUAAGGGCUGAGAUUGAGUGCAUGCAAUAUAUAUAUAGAGAGAGAGGUUGCUACCUUCUGGGCAGAGGUGUUGCACCGGCGAGGGGGAGUUGGCCGGCGAGGGAGGAGCUCCGGGGCGGGGUUGAAGGCUUCGGGGAGGCGGCGGCGGAGGUGCUCCUCCUCGGGGGAGGCGCGGUGGAGAGAGAGCUCGGGGGGGNNNNNNNNNNNNNNNNNNNNNNNNNNNNNNNNNNNNNNNNNNNNNNNNNNNNNNNNNNNNNNNNNNNNNNNNNNNNNNNNNNNNNNNNNNNNNNNNNNNNNNNNNNNNNNNNNNNNNNNNNNNNNNNNNNNNNNNNNNNNNNNNNNNNNNNNNNNNNNNNNNNNNNNNNNNNNNNNNNNNNNNNNNNNNNNNNNNNNNNNNNNNNNNNCGUGGAGGCGUGGCGGGGUGAAGUGGCGGCGGUGGCUAGGGUUGGGGGAGGGGUAGCCGAGGGGAGGGGGGUUUAUAUAGGCCUAGGGGGUGGUAUAAGGGAGGAGGAGAUCGCGGGAGAGAGGAGAGCUCGGUCUGGUCUCGGUAGAGAAGGAAAGAGAGGAGAGGCAGAGAGGAAAGAAGAGAUCGCGGGGCUUGGCAGGAGAGGAGGGAGGCGGUGGAGAGAGAGAACUGGGGAAGUCUCGGUCUGGGCAGAGAGAAGGAAAGGGAGGGAAUCGCUGGGAGGGUGCGGUCUUUGUUGGAGAAAAUAGGAAAGAGAGGGAGGAAGGAGAAGAGAGAGGGAGUUACGUGGGGCAUGCUGUGUAUGUGGAUGCAUGCCUCGUGCAUGGGGCUCGUGGGGGCGGCUGGGCUGAGCCCUUUGGCUCGGCCUGGCAGUUUCCUUUUUUUUUGAAAAAGAACAAACAGCAGCAAAAAGAAAAAAAACAAUAAAAAAAAUAUUUCCUAGCUAACAAAUACUAGAAAAAUAGGUACUAGAAUACUUAGGAAAAACAAAAUAAUAUAUAUAUAAUAUAUAUAUAUAUACAAAUACAUAUAAUAUCUAUGGAAACCCUAGUUCCACCUAAUGCAAACUUUCGAAAAUGAGUUUUAUGCAAUAGGUCACACAACUCGAUUGAAAAACUCAACAAAAAAAUAUAAUUCGGAGUUUAGAAAAUUUGCAAAACCAAAUUGGUGACUUCAAUAAUAUUCGAAACGCUAUGCACUUGAAUUCGACGGGGGGGGGAGAAGUCAUAUUAUCUCCACUCCAAUAAAUUGCCCGCAGUCACAUAACGAUUAGAAUUUUCAGAAGAACACAAAUAUGCAUAAAAUAUGAGAUGCAUAUGAAUGAUCUAUUAACAUCCGAAUUUAAGAAAAUUGGGAUGUUACAAACCUACCCACCUUAAGAUGAAUCUCGCCCUCGAGAUUCAGGUUGGCUAGAAAAUAGGUGCGGGUGGUCUCGACGAAGAUCCUCUUCUCGUUCCCAGGUGGCUUCUUCCUCGGUGUGGUGGCUCCACAACACCUUGCAGAACUUGUUGAUCUUGCUGCGGGUAACUCUGUUGGCAGUCUCGAGAAUCCGGAUGGGUUUCUCCUCAUACGUCAGAUCAAUGUCAAGCUGUAUGGCCUCUCGGGGCACUGUAUCUCUCAACUGAACAUCGGCCAUCUCAGCAUAGCAUUUCUUCAACUGGGAAACAUGGAAGACAUCAUGAACUCCGGACAAUCCUUCCGGCAGUUCCAGUUUGUAUGCAACUUCGCCUCUACGUUCAAGAAUUUUGUAGGGGCCAAUGAAACGUGGUGCUAAUUUUCCUUUCACACCGAAUCUCUUGAUUCCUCGAAGUGGAGACACCCGAAGAUAUGCUCGGUCUCCCACUUCGUACGUUACUUCCUUGCGUUUGCUGUCAGCAUAACUCUUCUGCCUGGACUGAGCUAUCUUGAGUCGGUCACGAAUAAGCUUGACCUUCUCUUCAGAAUCUCGGAUAAGGUCGGGACCAAAAAGUUGUCGGUCUCCAACUCCAUCCCACAUCAACGGUGUUCUGCACCUCCUUCCGUAUAGAGCUUCGAAAGGGGCCAUCUUCAGACUGGUCUGGUAGCUGUUGUUGUAUGAGAACUCGGCAUACGGUAAAUUGUCAUCCCAACUAGACCCAUAGUCUAGUGCGCAAGCUCUCAACAUGUCCUCCAGAAUCUGAUUGACUCUCUCAGUCUGUCCAUCUGUCUGCGGGUGAAAUGUUGUGCUGAACUCCAAUCUCGUUCCCAAGGUUUCAUGCAGUUGGUGCCAAAAUUUGGAUGUGAACUGAGUCCCUCUAUUGGACACAAUGCUCUUUGGUACUCCGUGCAGACAUACGAUCCUCGUCAUAUAUAUCUUGGCCAGCUUGGCACUCGGGUAGGUAGUCUUCACCGGAAUGAAGUGAGCUACCUUGGUCAAACGAUCGACCAUAACCCAAAUAGAAUCAUAGCCAGAACGGGUCCGAGGUAAUCCUGUGAUGAAGUCCAUACCAAGCUUUUCCCAUUUCCAUUCGGGUAAUGGCAGAGGUUGGAGCAAACCUGCUGGUUUCUGAUGCUCGGCUUUUACUCGCUGACAAACAUCGCAUAUAGCUACGUACUCGGCAAUGUCUUUCUUCAAUCCUGUCCACCAGAAACUUUCUUUCAGAUCCAGAUACAUCUUGGUAUUACCGGGGUGUAUCGAGUACGGGGAAUCAUGAGCUUCCUGAAGUAUCAGCUUCCUGAGUUCGGGAUCAUUGGGCACAUAGAUGCGAUCCUCAAACCAUAAAGUUCCGUGUUCAUCCUCACGAAAACCUUUAGCUUUCCCGUCUUCCAUUUUCUGCUUAAUCUCAGCUAUCUCCUUGUCAGCUUUCUGUGCUUCGCGGAUCUUUUCCGUCAAAGUAGACUGAAUUUCCAAAGUGGCAACAAAUCCUCUUGGAAUUAUCUCCAAUUUAAGCUCUCGGAGGUCAUCGACUAACUCCUGGGGUAAUCCUCCCGCUGUGAGCGUGUUCACAUAACUCUUGCGACUCAACGCAUCGGCUACAACAUUUGCCUUGCCUGGGUGAUAAUGCAAUCUCAUGUCAUAGUCCUUGAUCAACUCUAACCAUCGCCUCUGUCUGAGGUUCAACUCCUUCUACGUGAAGAUAUAUUUCAGGCUCUUGCGAUUAGUGUAAACAUCACAACUAUUUCCGAUCAGGAAAUGACUCCAGGUCUUGAGAGCGUGCACUACGACUGCUAGUUCCAAGUCAUGUGUGGCAUAAUUCAACUCAUGAGGUCUGAGCUGUCUGGAUGCAUAGGCUACAACUUUGCCUUCUUGCAUGAGCACUCCUCCGAGUCCUUGACGAGAAGCGUCACAGUAAACCUGGAAAUCCUUCCGAAUGUUCGGCAAUAUCAGCACUGGGGCUGUAACAAGACGUUUCUUCAGCUCUUGAAAACUGGUUUCACAUUCCUCAGUCCAAAUAUACUUGGAUUCCUUCUUCAACAACUCUGUCAUGGGCUUGGCAAUCUUUGAGAAAUUCUCAAUGAACCUCCGGUAAUAUCCGGCAAGUCCGAGGAAACUGCGAAUCUCCUUGACUGAAGUGGGUGCUACCCAUUCGGUGACUGCUGCGACCUUGGCAGGGUCCACUGCUAUUCCUUCUCCUGAGAUGACGUGUCCGAGAAAUGCGACUUCCUUCAACCAAAACUCACAUUUGCUAAACUUUGCAUACAGCUUAUGCUCUCGAAGCUUCUCCAGAACUAGACACAGAUGUUCCUUGUGUUCCUCUUCGUUCUUGGAGAAUAUCAGUAUGUCAUCGAUGAACACUACGACAAACUUGUCCAAGUAUUCCAUAAAUACCUUGUUCAUCAGAUUCAUAAAAUAUGCCAGAGCAUUAGUCAGUCCAAAUGACAUGACCGUGUACUCAUACAAGCCGUACUGAGUGGUAAAGGCUGUCUUGGGUAUAUCUUGUUCACGAAUUUUCAACUGAUGAUACCUGGAUCGAAGAUCGGUCUUGGAGAAUAUUCGGGCUCCAACUAACUGAUCAAACAAAUCAUUCAUCAUCGGCAAGGGGUACUUGUUCUUGAUGGUCACAUCAUUCAAUGCACGAUAAUCGACAACCAUUCUGAAGGACUUGUCCUUCUUUUCAACCAAGAGCACUGGGGCUCCCCAAGGUGAAGAACUUGGGCGAAUAUACCCUUUGUCCAAUAACUCCUUAAUUUGCUUCUUGAUUUCUAUCAAGUCAUUUGCAGGCAUCCGAUAAGGUCUCUUGGAUAUAUCGGGGCUGUUCCGGGUAAUAGCUCAAUCAAGAACUCAAUCUCUCUAUCGGGUGGCAUGCCCGGCAAUUCCUCCGGAAAUACAUCUGGAUACUCCUGUACAAUCGGUACUUCCUCCUGGACUACUCCCGUGAGAGAGUUUACUCGCUUACUCCGUGUCGGGCGCUGAGACACGUAGUUAAUCCGCUUCUGCUCGGGGGUGGUGAGCAAAAUAGACUUAAGGGCACAAUCAAUAUUCCCUUCAUACUUGGCCAACCAAUCCAUGCCUAGGAUUACAUCCAAUCCCUGGGACUCUAAUACGAUGAGGUCGGUGGGAAAAUUAUGGUUCCCGAUGUUGAGACUCAAAGCAUGGCAUCCUAUCCCGGCUGUCAUCAUGCCUCCUGGGGAACUGACCUUAAUAGGUUGGCUGAGGGUUCUAGUUGGCAAACUAUACUUUUCCACAACUACCCUUGAUAUGAAUGAAUGUGUUGCACCAGAAUCAAAAAGUACCAAUACAGGACGUGAAUUUAGCAAAAACUUACCAACCACAGUAUCGGGGUGAUCAUAGACCUCUUCCACAUCAAUGUGGUUCACCUGAGCUCGGGGAAAAGGAUUGGGCUUCUUUGCUGCAGAGUUACCGUUGCCGUUGCCGUUUCCAUUUCCCUGCUUGUUCUGGGGACAAUCAGUGGCAUAGUGUCCCUUCUUCUGACACUUGAAGCAAGUGAUGUGAGUCAGAUCCUUCUGAGCUGGAGCUGAUUGCUGCUGAGUACCAGUACCGCCAUUCUUGAAGUUGCUGUUGUUGCGGUGGUUCCCAUUUCCUCCAUGGUUGUGGCCUCCAUGGUUGUGCACGGGGUGGUUAUGCUGAACGUGUCCUCCAAACUUACCGGAUCCNNNNNNNNNNNNNNNNNNNNNNNNNNNNNNNNNNNNNNNNNNNNNNNNNNNNNNNNNNNNNNNNNNNNNNNNNNNNNNNNNNNNNNNNNNNNNNNNNNNNAUGGGGAGGAGGGAGGCGUCUAUGCUAGGGUUUGGGCUGUGGGUGGGGUUUUUUUUUCUGUAAAUACAUGGAUGGAUGGAUGUGAGAUGGUGAGAUUGAUGGAUGGAUGGAUGGGUGCCAUGUCAUUGAUCCAUGGGAAGAGUUCUGAUUGGUUAGAAUAUGUUACAACAUUUUUGUAAUCGUCGUAAAAGUUAUGACGAUCUCAUCCUAUGCGGUUACGAUUAUUUUGACUCACAUCUUCGUAAUUUAUAUGUAGAUUUGAUCCCCACAAACGGUUUAUGAUGAUUUUGGAUGAAAUCGUCAUAGAUUUAUAACGAAUUCAUCAACGACAUCUGAAAAAACGUCAUGUAUGAGCAUAUUUCUUGUAGUGUAGUCAGACAACAAGAUAUCAAUUGUGAAUUGUCGUGUCAUCUACAAACUACCACUUUAACUUCAUCCCUUAGAAUCCUGACAAUACAACCCAUCAUUACUCUUAUAUACAAAGAAAUAUCCUAAGAAACUGAUUUCAUAAUGUCCAUCCAUGAUUUUAUAUAUAACACAAACAUUGUAGAAAAGGUACACAACAGAUAGAGCACCACGACCCAGAUAUGACUAGCAGCCAUAUGCCAACUUACAGGUGCGCGUCGAAGCGGGAGUCAAGCAGCGCCAGGAUGGCGGCGUCCUCUGGGUCAUCGUACAGGUGUGCGUCCGUGCCCAUCCGUCCCACCACCCACGACGUCGCCGCGCCGCUCGCGCGCAUCCGGAACAUCCCUCCCUCUAGGCUGCAAACAUAUAGCAGACGUGUAACGCAACAACAUCUGCUUCCAGUGGCACCAAGUAUAAACUUAAAAAACAUGUUCGAACGACCAACUAAGAAUUAGUGGAACAUGAGAGCACUGGCAGGUGUGGAGCUGGAGCCAAAGUCACUCUGAUGCACCAUUUAAAAAAAUUCAGCAGUAAAUAUAAGUGUGCUUCAUAACCUCUGCCAUAAACUAUUAAACAUAGUAGUAAAAGAUAAUAUGAAAAAAAUAAGAAAAGACAACAAUUAAAAGUGGGCACGGAGUUUUGGCUCCGAGGCACGUGUGCACUUGAUGAAUGUAAGAUCAGAACAAAAUAAGAAGUUCAAAACUUUCUGAAUUUCUUUUAUGACAAACAUUACUGAGUGUUUCACCAGGUUGCAAAGUUUCUUGGUGUUAUAGUGGAAAAAAGAAGUAAUUUAAAAAGCGACUAUCUUUGAAAGCAUUUUGGAGCACUAAAAUUUCUUUUGCCCAUGCCUUCAAGAAUGGCGCCCCAUCACGAAACUGUGCAAUUAGUUAAAGAAACUAAGGAAUGUUUGCUAUGAAAAAAUACGAAAUUUGAAAAAUGGCUCUAUUAAUUUUCGGAUGUUAGUCUUCAUCCUUGGUUGAUGUGUACCCAGGAUCUGAAUGACACAUUCACAAUUAAAAUGCUUUCUGUAGCGAUCAAAAAAAGAAAUUACACGGUAAAUAUGCCUCACAUUUUCAAAUCCGAACUGAUUUUUUAACAAAAUCAGGGAACUUCAAAGAACAGUUUUGGCACUAAUAAUAGAAUUGAGAAUUACAUAUGUUACUUUGUAAUGUUCCAUCUUAGCUUCUAUGGCGUGCUGCCAACAGGGCCCAAUGGCGCUCUACCCUAGAAACCUACACGGUACAGUUUUGUCCUAGACCCCUAGAGAAAAUUGUUGUUCGCUCGCUGCUUCAUUUUGUUUGGACCCUGAUGCACAUCAAUGAGUGAACCUGGUGCACAUGCAUGUUGUACAAACUAAGCGCUACUGAAAGAAGGAAUCGACCCUGAUGCCUGUGCAUCACGGUGCCUCCAUUCAGCUCCGCCCCCUAAGCACUGGUUCAUCUCAAAUAGAAAAAAAUAAGACAAGACUCCGAAGUAAUAGGAAAUGUAAUUCAGACCUAUCUCCAUUGCAGCCCAUAUUUCCAAGCCAAAGGGACAAAAGCAAACCCAUGAUUAUGUAAUUCAGACCUAUAAAGGCGCACAAAGAUCACAUGAUCCAGGCUAAGAAAGAAAUCGGGUGCUACUAUAGCUGUGAACUUUGCAUCAGUUGACAUAUUUUAUUAUGAACAGUCCAGUUUGUCCUACUUUCAAAUGCAAAUAUCUCUGUCACAGGAGAUGAGAUGGAGAUAAGUAAAAAUUGUGAACUUGAGGUGACAUAAUGUUAAAAUUGUGACUUGUAAAUUAACUGUUAAACAAGUAGGGGAUGCAUAAUAUUGGGGGUGAAAACAAAGAAGAAUCAGUCAAAUAUUCACAAAAUAGAGGCUAAAAGGGUAGGAGUUUCUUUGCCACCUCGGGAAAUAACUGUGCAUAUUUGCCACUAAUUAAUUCCUACUUAAAUUCGAAUAAACUAAUCAAGUAAGCCUGAUUAACAGAUGUACAUCCCGAAAUUUAUUUCCUAAAUCAUCUUACAUAACUUUGCCUUCCCAAGUCACAUAAGGCACAUUGCCAUCCAGAGUUAAUCACUGAACGAAAGUGUCGUCACGCCGCAGCAACACUAUAGAAUGCUAAGUUAUCAGUUUCCAAACUUCAAUUAAAUCUGAAAAGACUUAAUCAGAUCUCCUCCCAUGGGCCAACUAGGAGUAGAUCAUUUGCCUCCCAACAGCUUCGUUCUGCGGCUUCCUUGCCCUGGAAAGGAGAUGCGAGAGAGCGAAGAGAAUUGAACCUGGGCGAUGCUGAUGAUGAAGUCGCCAAACUUGGGGUGGACGGCUGCCUGACUCUUGAGGUGGUUGGCGAUAGGCUUGGACAGCGUCUGCAGCAGCAGCGUCCCCAGCUUCAUCACCAGCAACGCGACCAUGGCGGCGGCGGCUCGGCCAGGACCUCUUGGUCGCCAUGGAAGCAGAGGAGCAGACCCCUUCACCUCCACCUCCAGCAGCAUUAAAUAUUGCUGCAUUAACCCCUCCACGUCCAGGUUUUAACCUCCUGCAUGAAACACUAACAUAUAUUAUCUCGAGGGCCAUGAUAGAGGAGGGUCCUAACAAUUUUUGUUUCAGAUAGACAAAAACAAAAGGUCCAGUUUAACUCUGAGCAAGGAUAAAGCAGGAUUCAAGUACUCAACAUACAUAACAUAAUCUGAAAUCAUAUCUGCAUUUGGAUCAUAAGUAUUUAAGUGCCAAAAAUAAUUACCAGUUGGCAGCAUUAGCAAUCACGUUGCAUUGAAGACCUCCUUUUGAGUGCAACUGAGUGAUGUCUCCAACAAAUGUGAAAAAUCUGCUGGACUCAAAUCUGCCUCCAGUUUGUACAUGCCCUUUGCUCUUCUGACCAAAUACUCCUAAAGCAAGACUAUGUGAAGGUCCUAAAGCACUACACAUAUCAACUGCCUUCUUAAUAUCAUCAUCAUCCGUACAGAACGUGAUCCGACUGAAACCUACAGUCAGCAAGGGUGUCUAUUUGUUCUUCAACAUGUGGUUCACAACCAUGGCAGCCAUUCCGUCCUGCACAUUUCCUUCAUGGCUAGUCCGGCUAACCGAGCGUGAGAUGCAAACCUUCGCAGGAAGAUCCAAGAAAACAACAUGCACAUCAUCUUGUACGAUGCAACCAAGCUUCACAAAAUCAGAGCGCUGCUCUCUUUCCAAGUUGCAUCGGUCAAUGAGAAUGCUCUUUCCCUCCUUGAAAGCGUCUGCUGCGGCCUUCAAGCACUGUAUUUUGGUUCCAGCUUUGCCCUUUCCAAUUGUAUCCUAGAACACAAUAAAGACCCACACAAAAUCUUGUCACGGUUGCUGGAGUUUCCAUUGACGAUAUGGUUAUUAACAUUCAAGCCAAGUAAAAAAAUUGCACUACCCGAAUCACCCCAACUUACUCAUGGAAUAGGAUUUUGGUGUUUUGACUUUGAGGUGCUAUCAGCUUUCGCAUGCAGAGCCAUUUUUUGCAAGGUAAGUAUUAUUAUUACUAAUACCACGAGACCGAAACUACAGUUUCAAACUUGCGAUACAAUAACUAGUUGUGAAAAAUAUAAGCAAUUUCAGAGCCGAAUCAGAUGAGCCCGCAUUAAGCAUUAGGGAAUGCUUGUCUUGAGACCUCAAAUUCACAACGGAGACGAAAAGUACCACCACUCAGCACAUUAGCACGUAGCGAGAGUGGAGCGCGUGGGGCACACCUGGCAGACGCGGGCCCAUGGGCGACUGGCGGUGUCGCCGGCCAAGACGGCCUCGGUGAACGUGGACUUGCCGCCGCCCGGGGCGCUGACGAGGAUUAGCAGCACCUGCUUUUCGGCAUCCUCCUUAGUCUCCGCGCCCGCGCCUGCAAUGGUUAGAGACAACGGCGGGCUAGGGUUUUAGCGUCGACGGGUAGCACUGGUUCGACCGAUUAGAUGAGGAAAAGGGUCAAAAAUCACCUCGGGCUACUUUAGAAAUCGAUGGAGCGGCAGGGGAACCACCUUCGUCGGGAUCCAUUCGCGGACAAACUCCAGAGGAGAGGAACCGGGGGCCUCUCACCAGCGUCUAAUCCGCUAUGGCGGAAGGGAGUGGGUGACGGGAGGGCGGGGUUACCGGGGAAGAAGCUGCGGGCGGCGACGAGGCCGCGGCCCUUCCCUGGAACGGAGGCGACGGCGAGGCCGCAGCCGGCGAGCUCGCGCUGCAGCUGCUCCGCCUGCCUCCACCAUCGGCGGUGUCUUCUGGUUCGAUUCGGGGGGUGGAGAGGGCGAGCCAGCAAUGCCGAGAUCUGCUGCGACGCGACCCCCAGCAAGGUUGGCCGGCAAGCUACGCAGUGGUGGUGGUUGUGGGAUGCAUCAGGGAAGGAGGCAGGGGACAGCAAGGAGGUAGCGGCGGUGAUGAGAUGGGGGCGAGGGAGGGAGAGGCGAUGACGCGCAUUCUCUGGAUCGGGAGGUUGCGGCUAGGGUUCGCGCAAGAUAGAGGCAGAGGGAGAUGGGUUUGCUGUGGUGGGAUGGAUGGAUGGAUGGCCGGAUAUUUACCAUGUAAUCGAUCCAUGUCACAACUCAUUCCAUCAAUCAGACUUAAGCUUGGGCAAUUUUCUUUUUUCUUUUUUUCUUUUAUACUUUUCACCCUCUUAUUCAGGGUAAAGAUAUAAUAUAUUACCCUCUUACAGUUUGUUAAAGCUUACCAAUAUAAUGCACAUGUGUGUAUCUUGGGAUGACAAAAAUGUUGAUUUGGGUGGUUUCAUUUUCUUUGCACAAAAAAUACAUUUUUCAUUUUUCGAGUGCUCAAAAUAAGUUUUUUUGUGAAGGACCUACCAUAUACUUGUUGCAAAAUUGGAUCAAAUAGUUUUUAUAGAAUACUAGUCCAUAUUUAAUUUACAAAUGACAAAAUGGUUGGGGGUAAAAAUAUUUGAGCCACCUCUCGAAAAAAACAAAAAUUUCCGAGAAUUAUUUUUGAACUAUGGAGAGAAGGGUUUUCAUAUAUUUUAGGAAUAUAUGAUCCAAAGUAUUUAUGAGAAUUUUUCGACAAUUUUUGGAACGACAUAAUAGUAGGUUGCUUCACAAACUAGGCGGGUUUGACGCGUGACAUAGAAUGGACCCACGAGUGACAUGUCAACAUAGUUAGAACAUGUUACGACAUUGUUAUAAUCUCAUCUUAUGCGGUUACGACGUUUUUGACUCACAUCGUCAUAAUUUAUAUGUAGAUAUGAUCCCCUCAAACGGUUUACGACAAUCUCGGAUGAAAUCGUCAUAGAUUUAUGACGAAUUCAUCAACGACGUCUUCAAAAACGUCAUGUAUGAGCAUAUUUCUUGUAGUGGUCCAAUUUCUUACCGAAACAGAUACAUCUUUGUUUUCAAGGUCUAAAAUAGGCUGAUAAACAUCCCUUAUGUACUCCUGUGGAGUUAUGACAUUGAUGAUAUUAGUCUCAAUAUUUAUGGGAGUACCACAGAUGUAAUGCUUGAUUCUUUUCCCAUUUACCACUCUAGGAAAAUUUCCUUCCGUGUUAUUGAUUUUGAUGGCACCGGAACGAUAUACUUCCUCGACAACAUAGGGACCUUCCCAUUUAGAGAGAAGCUCGCCUACAAAGAAUCUCAAACGAGAAUUGUAUAGCAAGACAUAAUCACCUACAUUGAACUCUCGUUUCUGUAUUCGUUUGUCGUGCCAUCUCUUAACCUUUUCCUUGAACAACUUGGCAUUCUCAUAUGUCUGGGCUCUCCAUUCAUCUAACGAGCUGAUAUCAAACAACCGCUUCUCACCGGCAAGUUUGAAAUCAAAGUUGAGCUCUUUGAUUGCCCAAUAAGCUUUGUGUUCCAGCUCAAGAGGUAAAUGACAGGCCUUACCGUAAACCAUUUUAUACGGUGACAUGCCCAUGGGAUUCUUAUAAGCAGUCCUAUAAGCCCAUAGUGCAUCGUCAAGUUUGCUAGACCAGUUCUUUCGGAUCUAUUGACGGUCUUUUGUAGGAUCAACUUGAUCUCCCUAUUACUCAACUCAACAUGACCACUAGACUCAGGAUGAUAAGGAGAUGCAACUCUAUGGUUGAUAUCAUACUUAGCUAGCAUCUUGCGGAGAACACCAUGAAUGAAAUGUGAACCGCCAUUAGUCAUCAAGUAUCUAGGGACUCCAAAUCUUGGGAAUAUGACUUCUUUAAGCAUCUUAAUAGAGGUGUGGUGAUCAGAAUUUUUAGUGGGGAUAGCUUCUACCCACUUAGUAACGUAAUCCACAGCAACUAAGAUGUGAGUGUACCCAUUGGAACUCGGGAAGGGUCCCAUAUAAUCAAAGCCCCAGACAUCAAAUGGUUCAAUGACAAGUGAAUAGUUCAUAGGCAUUUCCUGACGCUUACUGAUGUUCCCUAUCCUUUGGCAUUCGUCACAAGACAAGACAAACUUACGGGCAUCCUUGAAGAGAGUGGGCCAAUAGAAACCUGAUUGCAAUACCUUAUGGGCAGUUCUAUCUCCAGCAUGGUGUCUUCCAUAGGCUUCAGAAUGACACUUCUUGAGGAUUUGUCCCUGUUCAUGUUCAGGCACACAACGUCUAAUAACACCAUCUACUCCUUCCUUAUAAAGGUGAGGAUCAUCCCAAAAGUAGUGUCUCAAAUCAAAGAAGAAUUUCUUAUUUUGCUGAUAGGUGAAACUGGGUGGUAUGUAUUUGGCUACGAUAUAGUUUGCAUAAUCGGCAUACCACGGUGCACUAUGUGAAGUGCGGAUGACAUUUAAUUGCUCAUCAGGAAAGCUGUCAUCAAUAGGUAGUGGGUCAUCAAGGACAUUCUCUAGCCUAGACAAGUUAUCUGCUACAGGGUUAUCAGCACCCUUUCGGUCAACGACGUGCAAAUCAAAUUCCUGUAGCAGGACAACCCAUCUGAUCAGCCUAGGCUUAGCGUCUUUCUUCUCCAUCAGGUGCUUAAUAGCAGCAUGAUCAGAGUGAAUAGUGACUUUGGAGUCAACUAUGUAAGAUCUGAACUUUUCACAUGCAAACACGACUGCUAAAAAUUCCUUCUCCGUAGUGGCAUAGUUUCUUUGGGCACUGUCUAGAGUUUUACUAGCGUAGUGAAUGACAUUCAACUUCUUGUCAACUCUUUGUCCUAGAACAACACCAACAGCGUAAUCACUAGCGUCACACAUGAUUUCAAAGGGCAAGUUCCAGUCAGGUGGUUGAACAAUAAGUGCAUCAAUUAAGAUUUUCUUACGUAUACCAAAGGCUUCUACACAAUAGUCAUCAAACCCAAAUGUUAUAUCUUUUUGAAGAAGACUAGUUAAUGGCCUAGAUAUCUUGGAGAAAUAUUUAGUAAAAUGCCUAUAGUAACCAUCAUGACCAAGAAAACUUCUUAUACCUUUAACAUAUUUAGUACAUGUCAUUUUGUCUAUUGCAUGAACUUCUUUGUCUACCUCAAUACAUAUGUAGGAAAUUUUAUGCCCAAGCACUAUGCCUUCAUUCACCAUAAAGUGGCACUUCUCUUAGUUCAAGACAAUGUUCGUUUCUUCACAUCUCUGCAAAACUCGAUCAAGGUUGCUCAAGCAAUCAUCAAAAGAAGUCUUGUAAACAGAAAAAUCAUCCAUGAAACCUUCAAUAAUCUUUUCACAAAAUUUAGAGAAUAUAUCAGUCAUACAUCAUUGAAAGGUAACACGUGCAUUGCAUAAACCAAAAGGUAUACGUAUAUAAGCAUAAGUUCAAAAGGGCAAGUGAAACUAGUUUUCUCUUGGUCCUCCUUUGACACAUGUAUUGAGAAAAACCGAAAUAUUGUAACAACCCUAUGUCAUGCUACAGGAAACUCAUGCUAAUGGUGCCAUGUCAUCAGAUUUAAUUCUGCUAAACUUCACUUUGAACCAAACCCAGUCCAACUCCACAUUUAAAAUAAAGUCAAAUUAUUAUUUCUUCAAACAUAAAAAAAUGUUCAUAAUGUUGCAAAUAAUCCCUCAGUAAUUGUGGGGUAGAAACCAUUAUUUUAUAAAGUGGUUAAGCAGAAAAAUACAAAGGUGAACAAGGGUCCGUGCACACCCACAUGAAUAGUAAAUUCAUAAAAAAUACUGGUUUUUUUUAAAACAUUCUGAAAUUUCACGAUAAGAAACUUAGUUGACCAUUCUAAUCACGUGGGAAGUUUCAUGGUGUAUUGACACCGAUGGUAUUUUUAGUGAAGAAAAUACAAUUGUGGCCAUACUGUUCAUCAAACUGUUUUAAUAAUAUAGAUUCGGUUUUGUCAUUUUUUUCCAGAUUACCACCGAUGUGAUUUCUUCGUGAAACUUCAUACACGAAUAUACUGAUUGAGUAUGUAUAUUACAAAAAUAAAUUCCAUUUUUUUGUUUUUUUAGCAAUUUAUGAAUUUAUUUUUCAAGCAGGGUGCGCUCGCACCAUGCUCACCAAAUCUGUGUCGGGUUAAGUGUCGUGAAAUAUUUAAAACAGAGGCCAAAACAAUAAAUUAAUUCCUUUUAAAAUUAUAAAAUUUAUAAGCUAUUUUAUUUAAAUGCCAAGCAUAUAUGCUUACUUGAUUUUGUAACAUGCUAUUGUUACCUACCUGCUUACCAUAUAUGCUUAGUAUAGGUUGGUUAGUGAUCCACUGGUGACACCUCACCUUGUUCAUGUUGCUCCCCCAUCAUCAUCAAUGACUCGAUCAGUGUGCUAAACAUCCUAAGCUUGACACAUCACCUCACACCCCCUUAUUUGUAUGACUCUUCAGAUCCACUAUCGAGUGCCGAAGUUGAUACUCAUAACGCACUCCUGAUGAUAACCCUAUCGUGUAGCUAGUCGGUCAUGGAUUUCAGAGGGUGAUUCCUCUUUCACCACCUCUGAUGAUGCCUCUGUCCUGCAGCCCCUCAAGUGUGAACCUAUCGAGGGUGAUUCCACCAAGUUCACCAUGACGAUUACAUCGACUGGGAAUCCAUCGAGGGUGAUUCCUCAGAUUUCCCCCUCGAUGAUAAGGACACAGUAUUACCUUUACCUAUUGUGCCUAUUACCGGUAUUGUGGGACUGAAGGAUAGGAGGUACCCCCCCCCGGAUGAGGUGGACCUGAGUUCCCGACCAUCUCUUGCGAGUCGGGUUGACCUGGAAGGUACUCGCGAGAUAAUUAGAAGGCAUAGUAGGGCAGGCAGUCCGUCCCAGGAGAGGGAUGGACCUAACCCUUGAUGAAGGUCCUCCAGACGGGGCGACAUGAUCACUCAUCGUUUCCUUGAGCUCCCAAGACACUAACGGAUUAGGAUAUGUGAUCUGAGUAGGCCUCUAGCCUUUUUCACACUAACCACCAUGCGGGAAUAACUAUGGGCCCUCUUCAUCUUACAUUCUCCCGAAAGCUCUUCAAAUGUCAUAGUGAGCGUCACUCGCUCGGGUGGCCCACGUAAGCACCUACUUUGGAUAAAGAGGUAGCUAGGACUGAUAUCAGUCAUCCUCGUAACACACACGACUGCAAAGGGCGAUGGGUCCAAGACCCCUAAGCACUUAGGAUUUAGACCGACGUGUUGUCCUCUCUGUUGAGCGUAGGUAGGACUAUGGUGUGCCGAUCAGACGAGGCCGAGCAUGACCCAGGAAAGUGUGUUCGACCGGAGUUAAUCGAGCUCGUUGGGUAAGUUGGUGAACCCCUCCAGGGAAUUAUAUGUUGGAAAUAUGCCCUAGAGGCAAUAAAUUGGUUAUUAUUAUAUUUCCUUGUUCAUGAUAAUCGUUUAUUAUCCAUGCUAGAAUUGUAUUGAUUGAAAACUCCAAUACAUGUGUGGAUACAUGGACAACACACUGUCCCUAGUGAGCCUCUAAUGGACUAGCUCGUUGAUUAAAGAUGGUCAAGGUUUCCUAGGAAUAGAAUUGAGAUGUGGUUUGAUAAAGGGAUCACAUCGUUAGGAGAAUAAUGUGAUGGACAAGACCCAAACUAUGAACGUAGUGUAUGAUCGUGUUAGUUUAUUGCUACUGUUUUCUGCAUGUCAAAGUAUAUGUUCCUAUGACCAUGAUAUCAUGCAACUCCCCAACACCGGAGGAGUGCCUUGUGUGUAUCAAANNNNNCAACGUAACUGGGUGACUAUAAAGGUGCUCUACAGGUAUGUCCGAAGAUGUGUGCUGGGUUGGCAUGGAUCAAGACUGGGAUUUGUCACUCCGUGUGACGGAGAGGUAACUCGGGGGCCACUCCAUAAUGCAACAUCACAACAAGCCUUGAAAGCAAUGUGACUAAAGAGUUAGUCACGUGAUCUUUUUAUCACGGAACAAGUAAAGAGAUUUAUCGGUAAUGAGAUUGAACUAGGUAUGGAGAUACAGACGAUCAAAUGUCGGGCAAGUAACAUACCCAUGGAAAAACGGAAUAGUAUACAUGAUUAACUGAAUCCUUGACAUGGAGGUUCUACCGAUAUAUAUCUUCGUAGAAUAUGUAGGAGGCAAUAUGGGAAUCCAGGUUAGGCUAUUAGUUAUUGAACGGAGAGUGUCUCGGCCAUGUGUGCAUAGUUCUCGAACCCGCAGGGUCUGCACACUUAAGGUUCGAUGAUGUUUCGGUAUUGUUGAGUUAUGUAUGUUGGUGACUGAAGGUUGUUUGGAGUCCUGGAUGACAUUCCGGACGUCAGAAGGUGUUCCGGAAUGGUGCAGAGACGAAUAUUGAUAUAUAGGAAGAGGGUAUUUGGACUCCGGAAUGGUUUCGGGCAUUUCUGGUAGUGUACCGAGAACGACGAAUGGGUUUUGGGGGAUCCAUCGGGAGAAGUCCACCCACCCCAGGGGCCACAUGGGCCUAAGAGGUGGCGCACCAGCCCUUAGUGGGCUGGGCAGCCAGCCCCAAAAUUCCCUUGCACCAAGGAGGUGGGAGGAGGCCAAGUUGGGAGGGAAUCCUACUAGGAGUAGGACUCCACCUCCCUUAGUGGAGGAGGAUUCCUCCUCUUGGUGCGCCACCCCUUCCCGUAUCCUCCUAUAUAUACUAGAGGGGGGAGAGGGCAGCCAACACACUAAUAUAAGGCACAACCCCUCUCCCUCCCUCUAGUUCGUUCUUCCUCUAGAAUAGGUUCGACAGUGCACGACGAAGCCCUGCCGAUCAGCUCCACCACCAUCGGCGCCACACUGUUAGGCUGUCAGAUAACUCAGCUACCUCUCCGCUCCCUCUUGCUAGAUCAAGAAGGCGGAGAUUGUCAUCGAGAUGUACGUGAGCUGAACACGGAGGUGCCGUCUGUUCGACACUAGAUCGGGAUGGAUCGUGAUGAGAUCGCGAGAUGGAUCAUGAUGGGAUCGCAGGACGGAUUGCAAUUUGGAUCGCGAAGAUGUUUCACUACAUCAACCGCAUUAUAUACGCUUCCGUUUGGUGAUCUACUAGGGUAUGUAGAUGCAUUCUCUCCUUUCGUGGAUGGUCAUGACCAUGGAUAGAUCUUAUGUCUGCGUAGGAAAUUUUUUGUUUCCCAUGCGACGUUCCCCAGCAGUGGCAUCAUGAGCUAGGUCUAUGCGUAGAUGACAUCUCGAGUAGAAAACAAAGUAGUUUGUGGGUGUUGAUAUUCAGAUUGCUUCCCUCCUUAGGCUUUUCUUGAUUUGGCGGUAUUGUUGGAUGAAGCGGCCCGGACCAACAUUACUCGUACGCUUACGAGUGACCGGUUUCAUCGACUAACAUGCAACUAGUUGCAUAAAGAUGACUGGUGGAUGUCUGUUUCUCCUACUUUAUUUGAAGCAGAUUUGACAGAGGCGGUCCUUGGAGAUGGUUAAAUAGCAACUUGUAUAUCACCGUUGUGGUUUUGCGUAAGUAAGAUGCGAUCAUGCUAGAUACCCAUAGCAGCCACGUAAAACAUGCCACAACAAAUUAGAGGACGUCUGACUUGUUUUUGCAGGGUAUGUUGUGAUAUUAUAUGGAAAGACAUGAUAUUAUAUAUUUGAUGUAUGAGAUGAUCAUGUUGUAAUAGUUAAAUAUCGACUUACAUGUCGAUGCUACGACAACUGGCAGGUGCCAUAUGGUUUUCUUAAAUUUUUUGUGCCCGGUGAUGCUUUACUUUAUCGCUAGUUCAGUAGCUUUAGUAGUAACAACAUACUUGGUGAGACAACCUCGAUGGCAGUACAAUGAUGGAGAUCAUGAUGUGGCACUCGUGAAGAUGUAGAUCAUGCCGGUACUUUGGAGAUGGAUAUCAAAAGCACAAGAUGAUGGCCAUAUCAUGUCACUUAUGAUUUGCAUGUGCUGUUAAUCCUUUUAUGCACCUUAUUUUUCUUAGGACGAUGGUAGCAUUAUAAGAUGAUCCCUCACUAAAAUUUCAAGAUAAAAUUGUGAUCUCCCCGAGUGUGCACCAUUGCAAAAGUUCGUCGUUUCAAGACACCACGUGAUGAUCGGGUGUGAUAGACUCUUCGUUCGAAUACAAUGGGUGCAAGACAGUUUUGCACACGCGGAACAUUCGGGUUAAACUUGAUGAGCCUAGCAUGUCCAAACAUGCCCUCAAAGCACAAGAUAACGGAAGGUUGAACAUGAGUCAUAUAGUAGAUAUGAUCAACAUAGAUACGUCCACCAUUGAAUCCAACUCAACUCAUGUGAUGAUUGGACUUGAGUUAGUGAAUUUUGAUCAAGUAUCACUCGAAUGACUAGAGGGAUGUCAAUUUGAGUGGGAGUGUUGGAAAUAUGCCCUAGAGGCAAUAAUAAAGUAGUUAUUAUUAUAUUUCCAGUUCAUGAUAAUUGUCUAUUAUGCAUGCUAUAAUUGUAUUAAACAGAAAUUGUAAUACAUGUGUGAAUAUAUAGAUCACAAUGUGUCCCUAGUGAGCCUCUAUUUGGAUAGCUCGUUGAUCAAUAGAUGAUCAUGGUUUCUUGAUCAUGGACAUUGCAUGUCAUUGAUGACGGGAUCACAUCAUUGGGGAAUGAUGUGAUGGACAAGACCCAAUCCUAAGCAUAGCACUAGAUCGUGUUGUUUGUCUACUAAAGCUUUUCUAAUGUCAAGUAUCAUUUCCUUAGACCGUGAGAUUGUGCAACUCCUGGAUACCGUAGGGGUGCUUUGGGUGUACCAAACGUCACAGCGUAAGUGGGUGAUUAUAAAGGUGCACUACGGGUAUCUCCGAAAGUGUUUGUUGAGUUGUGCGUAUCGAGACCGGGAUUUGUCACUCCGUGUGAUGGAGAGGUAUCUUUGGGCCCACUCGGUAAUCCAUCAUCAUAAUGAGCUCAGUGUGACUAAGAAGUUAGCCACGGGAUGAUGUGUUACGGAACGAGUAAAGAGACUUGCCAGUAACGAGAUUAAACAAGGUAUAGGGAUACCGUCGAUCGAAUCUCGGGCAAGUAUCAUACCGAUAGACAAAGGGAUUGCAUACGGGAUUGAUUGAAUCCUUGACAUCAUGGUUCAUCCGAUGAGAUAAUCGUGGAACAUGUGGGAACCAACAUGGAUAUCCAGACCCCGUUGUUGGUUAUUGGCCAGAGAUAUGUCUCGGGCAUGUCUGCAUGUCUCCCGAACCUGUAGGGUCUACACAUUUAAGGUUCGAUGACGCCAGGGUUAUAUGGAAAUAGUGUACGUUGUUACCGAAGGUUGUUCUAAAUCCCAGAUGAGAUCCCGGACGUCACGAGGAGCUCCAAAAUGGUCCGUAGGUAAAUAUUGAUAUAUAGGAAGUGAGAUUUUGGACACCGGAAAUGUUUCGGGCGUCACCUGUAACGUACCGGGACCAUCGGAGGGGUUCGGGGGGUCCACCUGCCCCAAAGGCUAGCAUGGGCCAAAAGAUGGAAGGCAACCAGCCCAGAGUGGGCUGGUGCGCCUCCCACCUAGGCCCAAGGCGCAAGGAGAGGUGGAGGGGGGCAAACCCUUGGCGUAGGAGGGGCCCAAGGCCCAUUUGGGUGCGCCACCCCUCCUCUCCCUGCCCUGGCCGCCGCCCUCCUGGCCAUCUAGGUCUGCCGCCACCCCUAGGGAGGGAACCCUAGGGGUGUGCACCCUCCCUCCCUCCCUCCUAUAUAUACCCGAGGUAUUGGGGCUGAUUUGAGACAUGAACUAUUUCUCUCUCGGCGCAACCCUACCCCUCUCUCUCCUCGUCCUCCGCAUAGCUUAGCGAAGCUGUGCCGGAGAACCACGUAGCUCCAUCGCCACCAUGCCGUCGUGCUGCCGGAGCUCUCUCCCUCAACCUCUCCCUCCUCCUUGCUGGAUCAAGGUGCGGGAGACAUCAUCGGGAUGCACGUGUGUUGAACGCGGAGGUGCCGUAGUUUGGCACAUAGAUCGGAAUCAACCGCGAUCUGAAACGUUGCGACUACGACUCCAUCAACCGCGUUCAUAGUAAUGCUUCCUCUUAGAGAUCUUCUAAGGUAUGAAGAUGCUCUACAACCUCUCUCGUUGUUGGUUUCUCCAUAGAUAGAUCCUUGUAUGGCGUAGGAAUUUUUUUGAAUUUACUACGAUCCCCAACAGUGGCAUCUGAGCCAAGGUUCUAUGCGUAGAUUCUAUGCAUGAGUAGAACACAAAAGUUGUGGGCGCUGAUUUGUCAACUUUCUUGCCGUUACUAGUCUUAUCUUUUUUGGCGGUAUUAUGGGAUGAAGCGGCCCGGACCGACUUUACACGUACGCUUACGUGAGACUAGUUCCACCGACAGACAUGCACUUGGUGCAUAAGGUGGCUAGUGGGUGUGUGUCUCUCCCACUUUAGUUGAAUUGGAUUCGAUGAAAAGGGUCCUUAUGAAGGGUAAAUAGCAUUGGCAUAUAAACUUUGUGGAUGUCACUUAGGUGAGAAAUGUUCUUGCUAGAAACCCAAACCUGCCACGUAAAACUUGCAACAACAAUUAGAGGACGUCUAACUUGUUUUUGCAGGGUAUGCCAUGUGAUGUGAUAUGGCCAAAAGGAUGUGAUGUUAUAUAUGUGAUGUAUGAGAUUGAUCAUAUUAUUGUAAUAGGAUUCACGACUUGCAUGUCAAUGAGUAUGAAAACCGGCAGGAGCCAUAGGAGUUGUCUUGAUUUAUUUUAUGAGCUGCAACGCCGUGUUGAUUAAUUUACUUUAUCGCUAAUGGUUAGCUAUAGUAGUAGAAGUAAUAGUUGGCGUGACAACUUCAUGGAGACACAAUGAUGGAGAUCACGAUGAUGGAGACCAUGGUGUCAUGCCGGUGACGAUGAUGAUCAGUUGCCCCGAAGAUGGUGAUCAUGUCACUAUAUAGGCCAUAUCAUGUCACUAUAUGAUUGCAUGUGAUAUUUAUCAUGUUUUACAUCUUAUUGCUUAGAACGACGGUAGAAAAUAUAAGAUGAUCCCUCAUUAAAAUUUCGAGAUAAGUAUUCCCCUAAGUGUGCACCGUUGCGAAGGUUCGUUGUCUCAAAGCACCACGUGAUGAUCGGGUGUGAUAGAUUCUAACGUUCGCAUACAACGGGUGUAAGCCAGUUUUACACACGCAAAACACUUAGGUUGACUCGACGAGACUAGCAUGUACAGACAUGGCCUCGAAUAGAAGAGACUGAAAGGUCGAACAUGAGUUGUAUGGUUGAUACGAUCAGCACGGAGAUGCUCACCAUUGAUGACUAGUUCGUCUCACGUGAUGAUCGGAUACGGGCUAGUCGACGUGGAUCAUGUAACACUUGGAUGACUAGAGGGAUGUCGAUCUAAGUGGGAGUUCAUUAGUAAUUUGAUUAGAUGAACUUAAUUAUCAUGAACUUAGUCUAAAAUUGUCUUUACAAAUAUUGUAGAUCCAAUGGCCAACGCAAAUGUCCCAUUCAACUUCAAUGCGUUCCUGGAGAAAACCAAGCUGAAAGACGAUGUAAGCAACUAUGCAGAUUGGGCUCGUAACUUAAAGAUCAUCCUCAUGGAUUCCAUGAAGGCAUAUGUCCUUGAUGCACCGCUAGGUGAUCCUCCCGUUCCCGCGGCAACCCAGCACGUCAGGAACGGCUGGCAGUCGCGGAGUGAUGACUACUCUCUCGUUCAGUGCGACAUGCUUUACAGUUUAGAACCGAGGCUCCAAAGGCGUUUUGAGCAACACGAAGCAUAUGAGAUGUUUGAGGAGCUGAAACUUGUUUUUCAAGCUCAUGCCCGGGUCAAGAGAUAUGAAGUCUCUGACAAGUUCUUUAGUUGUAAGAUGGAGGAAAAUAUUUCUGUCAGUGAGCACAUACUCAGAAUGUCUGGGUUGCACAACCGCUUGACUCAGCUGGGAGUUGAACUUCCGGAUGAUGAGGUCAUUGACAGAAUCCUCCAGUCGGUUCCACCCAGCUACAAAGGCUUUGUGAGGAAUUACUACAUGCAAGGGAUGGAUAAGAAUAUUCCCGAGUUGUAUUCAAUGCUCAAAUCUGGAGAGGUAGAAAUCAAGAAAGAGCAUCAAGUGUUGAUUGUCAAUAAGACUACCAGUUUCAAGAAGGGGAAGGGUAAGAAAAAGCUUCAAGAAAGAUGACAAAGUUGUUGCCGCACCGGGUAAGCCAGUUACCGAGAAGAGGUCAAGGAAAGGACCUAAGCCUGAGACUGACUGCUACUACUGCAAGGGAACCGGUCACUGGAAGCGGAAUUGCCCCAAGUACUUAGCUAACAAGAAGGCCGACAACGUCAAAGGUAUAUGUGAUAUACUUGUUAUUGAUUUGUACCUUGCCAGCGCUCAUACUAGCUCCUGGGUAUUUGAUACCGGUGUUGUUGCUCACAUUUGCAACUCUAAGCAGGAACUACAGAACAAGCAUAGGCUGGCUAAGGACGAGGUGAUGAUGCGCGUCGGAAAUGGUUCCAAGGUCGAUGUGAUCGCUGUCGGCACGCUACCUCUACAUCUACCUUUGGGAUUAGUUAUAAACCUUAAUAAUUGUUAUUUAGUACCAGCUUUAAGCAUGAACAUUGUAUCGGGAUCUCGCUUGAUGCAAGAUGGCUACUCAUUUAAAUCUCAGAAUAAAGGUUGUUCUAUUUAUAUGAGUGGUAUGUUUUAUGGUCAUGCCCCGGUGGUUAAUGGUUUAUUCCUAAUGAAUCUCGAUCAUGAUGUUACACAUAUUCAUAGUGUGAGUGCUAAAAGAUGCAAGGUUGAUAAUGAUAGUCCCACAUACUUGUGGCACUGCUGCCUUGGUCAUAUCGGUGUAAAGCGCAUGAAGAAACUCCAUAUAGAUGGACUCUUGGAGUCACUUGAUUUUGAAUCAUUUGACACAUGUGAACCGUGCCUCAUGGGCAAGAUGACCAAGACUCCGUUCUUCGGAACAAUGGAGCGAGCAACUAAUUUGUUGGAAAUAAUACAUACCGAUGUAUGCGGUCCCAUGAGCAUUGAAGCUCGUGGUGGCUAUCGUUAUGUUCUCACCCUCACUGAUGAUUUAAGUAGAUAUGGAUAUGUCUACUUAAUGAAGCACAAGUCUGAAACCUUUGAAAAUUUCAAGGAAUUUUAGAGUGAGGUGGAGAAUCAAAGCGACAAGAAAAUAAAGUUUCUACGAUCUAAUCGUGGAGGAGAAUAUUUGAGUCAUGAGUUUGGCACACACCUACGGAAAUGUGGAAUUGUUUCACAACUCACGCCGCCUGGCACACCGCAACGUAACGAUGUGUCUGAACGUCGUAAUCACACUUUAUUGGAUAUGGUGCGAUCUAUGAUGUCUCCUACCGAUUUACCGCUAUCAUUUUGGGGAUAUGCAUUGGAAACUCCCGCAUUCACUUUAAAUAGGGCACUGUCUAAAUCCGUUGAGAUGACACCGUAUGAAUUAUGGUUUGUCAAGAAACCUAAGCUGUCGUUUCUUAAAGUUUGGGGCUGCGAUGCUUACAUGAAUAAACUUCAACCAGAGAAGCUCGAACCCAAAGCGGAAAAAUGCGUCUUCAUAGGAUACCCUAAGGAAACUAUUGGGUAUACCUUCUACCUUAGAUCCGGAGGCAAGAUCUUUGUUGGUAAGAUCGGAUACUUUCUAGAGAAAGAGUUUCUCUCGAAAGAUGUGGGAGGAAAAUAGAACUUGAUGAGGUAAUAGUACCUCCUCUCGAACCGGAGAGUAGUGCAGCACAAGAGAAUGUUUCUGAGGCGCCUGCACCGGCUAGAGAUGAAGUUAAUGAUGAUGAUCAUGACAGUUCGGAUCAAGUUGCUAUUGAACCUCGAAGGUCGACAAUGGUACACUCCGCACCAGAGUGGUACGACAACCCUGUCAUGGAAAUCAUGUUGUUAGACAACAGUGAACCUUCGAACUAUGAAGAAGCGAUGGCGGGCCCGGAUUCCAACAAAUGGCUUGAGGCCAUGAAAUCCGAGAUAGAAUCCAUGUAUGAGAACAAAGUAUGGACUUUGGUGGGCUUGCCCGAUGAAUAGCGAGCCAUAGAAAAUAAAUGGAUCUUCAAGAAGAAGACUUACGCGUAAGGUAAUGUGACCAUCUAUAAGGCUCGACUUGUCGCUAAGGGUUAUCGACAAGUUCAAGGGAUUGACUACGAUGAGACCUUCUCACCUGUAGCGAUGCUGAAGUCGGUGUGAAUCAUGUUAGCAAUUGCCGCAUUUUAUGAUUAUGAAAUCUUGCAAAUGGAAGUUGAUACGUCCAUUUUGCAUCAUGCUUUCACGUUGGUAUUUAUUGCUUUUAGGGCUGUUAUAUUACUUUUGGUGCCAUAUUUAUGCCUUUUCUCUCUUAUUUUACAAGGUUUAUUUGAAGAGGGAGAAUUCAGGCAGCUGGAAUUCCGGACUGGAAAAGGAGCAAAUCCUAGUCCACUAAUCUGCACAUCUCCAAAUGCCCUGAAAACUUACGUGGAUUUUUUCUGGAUUAUAUAAAAAAUACUGGGCGAAAGAACUACCGGAGGGGGGCCACCAGGGCUCCACAAGCCCUGCCACCGCCACCACCCCCCUGGUGGCACAGGGCAAGCUUGUGGGCUGCCUGACGGCCCACUAGCUCCCCCUUUUGCUGUAUGAAGGGUUUUGGUCCAGAAAAAAAAUCAUUCGGGAGCUUUUUCGUGGUUUCGCCGCUGCCACGAGGCGGAACUUGAGCAGAUCCAAUCUAGAGCUCCGGCAGGACGAUCCUGCCGGGGAAACUUCCCUCUCGGAGGGGGGAAUCGUCGCCAUCGUCAUUACCAACACUCCUCUCAUCGGAGGGGAGGCAUCUUCAUCAACAUAUUCAUCAGCACAAUCUCCUCUCCAAUCCCUAGUUCAUCUCUUGUAACUAAUCUUCGUGUCGCAACUCCGAUUGGUACUUGUAAGGUUGCUAGUAGUGUUGAUUACUCUUUGUAGUUGAUGCUAGUUGGAUUACUUGGUGGAAGAGUUUAUGUUCAGAUCCUUGAUGCUAUUCAUUACACCUCUGAUCAUGAUUAUGAUUAUGUUUUGUGAGUAGUUACUUUUGUUCCUGAGGACAUGGGAUAAGUCAUGUUAAUAAUAGUCAUGUGAAUUUGAUAUUCGUUCGGUAUUUUGAUAUCCUGUUUGUUGUCUUUUCCUCUAGUGGUGUUAUGUGAACGUCGACUACAUAACAUUUCACCAUAUUUGGGCNNNNNNNNNNNNNNNNNNNNNNNNNNNNNNNNNNNNNNNNNNNNNNNNNNNNNNNNNNNNNNNNNNNNNNNNNNNNNNNNNNNNNNNNNNNNNNNNNNNNGACUUCUCCCGAUGGACCCCCCGGAACCCAUUCGUCCCGGUACACUACCGGACAUGCCCGAAACCAUUCUAGAGUCCAAAUACCCUCUUCCUAUAAAUAAAUUCCGAAACUCCUUGUGACGUCCGGGGUCUCAUCCGGGACUCUAAACAACCUUUGGUCACCAACAUACAUAACUCAGCUAUACCGAAACGUCACCAAACAUUAAGUGUGCACGCCCUGUGGGUUAGAGAACUAUGCAGACAUGACCGAGAUACUCUCCUGUCAAUAACCAAUAGCAGGACCUGGAUGCCCAUAUUGGCUCCUACAUAUUCUACGAAGAUCUUUAUGGGUCGAACCUCUAUGUCAAGGAUUCAGUUAAUCCCGUAUAUUAUUCCCUUUGUCCAUUGGUAUGUUACUUGCCCGAGAUUCGAUCGUCGGUAUCUCCAUACCUAGUUCAAUCUCAUUACCGGAAAGUCUCUUUACUUAUUCUGUAAAACAAAAUCCCGUGACUAACUCUUUACUCACACUGCUUGCAACACUUGUUGUGACGUUGCAUUACCGUGUGGGCCCCGAGAUACCUCUCCGUCACACGGAGCGACAAAUCCCAGUCUUGACCCAUGCCAACCCAAUAGACACCUUCGAAGAUACCUGUAGAGUACCUUGAUAGUCACCCAGUUGCGUUGUGACUUUUGAUAAACACAACGCAUUCCUCUGGUGUCCGGGAGUUGCAUGAUCUCAUGGUCAUAGGAACAUAUACUUUGGCAUGCAGAAAACAGUAGCAAUAAACUGACACGAUCAUAUGUUGCAUUCAUAGUUUGGGUCUUAUCCAUCACAUCAUUCUCCUAAUGGUGUGAUCCCGUUAUCAAAUGACAUCUCAUGUCUAUGGUUAGGAAACCUUGACCAUGUUUGAUCAACGAGCUAGUCCAUUAGAGGCUCACUAGGUACAGUGUGUUGUCUAUGUAUCCACACAUGUAUUGCAGUUUCUAGUCAAUACAAUUCUAGCAUGGAUAAUAAACGAUUAUCGUGAAAAAGGAAAUAUAAUAAAAACCAAUUUACUAUUGCCUCUAGGGUAUAUUUCCAACAGUAUCCCACUUGCACUAGAGUCAAUAAUCUAGUUCACAUCACUAUGUGAUUGUAAUGAAUCCAACACCCAUACAGUUCUGGGGUUUCAUCAUGUAUUGCUUGUGAGAAAGGUUUAUAGUCAACAGGUGUGAACCUUUCAGAUCUGUGUGUGCUUUACAAAUCUCUAUGUCAUCCUAUAGAUGCUGCUACCACGUGCCAUUUGGAACUAGUCUAAAUGACUGCUCCAUUAUACGAAUUUGGUUUACUACUCAGACUUAUCCGGAUCCGUGUCAAAGCUUGCAUCGACGUAACCUUUUACGACGAACUCUUUUAUGACCUCCAUAAUCGAGAAACAUUUCCUUAGUACUCAAGUUACUAAGUAUAAUUUUGAUCGUUGUCCAGUAAUCCAUUCCUGGAUCACUUUUGUACCCCUUGACAGAUUCAUGGCAAGGCACACAUUACGUGUGGUACAUAACAUGGCAUACUAUAGAGCAUAUAGCUAAUGCAUAGGGGACGACCUUCGUCCUUUCUCUUUCUUCUAUCAUUGUCGGGCUUUUGAGUCUUACUCACUAUUCACACCUUACAACACAGCCAAGAACUCCUUCUUUGACUGAUCUAUUUUGAACUCCUUUAAAAUCUUGUCACGGUAUGUAUGCAUUUCAAAGUUCUAUUAAGUGUUUUGAUCUAUCUCUAUAGAUCUUGAUGCUCAAUGUUCGAGUAGCUCAAUAUAGAUUUUCCUUGAAAAACACUUUUCAAACAACCUUAUAUUCUUUAUAGAAAUUCUACAUCAUUUCUGAUAAACAAUAUGCCAACCACAUAUACUCAUCAGAAAUUCUAUAGUGCUCCCAUUCACUUUCUUGGAAAUACAAGUUUCUCAUAAACUUUGUAUAAACCCAAAAGCUUUGAUCAUCUCAUCAAACCGUAUAUUCCAACUCCGAGAUGCUUGCUCCUGUCCAUAGAAGGAUCGUUGGAGCUUGAAUACUUGUUAGCAUCCUUAGGAUCGACAAAAUGUCAUGGUUGUAUAACACACAACCUUUCCUCAAGGAAACCGUCAAGGAAACAAUGUUUUGAUAUCCAUCUAACAAAUUUCAUAAUCGAAAAAUGCAGCAACUACUAACAUAAUUCCAACAGACUUUAGCAUCGCUACGGGUGAGAAAGUCUCAUCGUAGUCAACUCUCUGAACUUGUCGGAAAACUCUUGGCGACAAGUCGAGCUUACUAAAUGGUGACAUUCACCAUCAUCGUCUGUCUUCCUUGUAAAGAUCCACUUCUACUCAAUAGCCUUAUGACCAUCAAAUAGUUCUUCCAAAGUCUAUACUUCAUUUUCAUACAUGGAUCCUAUCUCGGAUUCCAUGGCGUCCGACCAUUCUUCGAAAUCCGGGCCCACCAUUGCUUCUCCAUAGCUCGUAGGUUCAUUGUUGUCCAACAACAUGACCUCCAAGACAGGAUUACCGUACCACUCUGGAGCAUUACGUUUCCUUGUCGAACUACGUGGUUUGGUAGUAACUUGAUCCGAAGCUUCAUGAUCACCAUCAUUGGCUUUNNNNNNNNNNNNNNNNNNNNNNNNNNNNNNNNNNNNNNNNNNNNNNNNNNNNNNNNNNNNNNNNNNNNNNNNNNNNNNNNNNNNNNNNNNNNNNNNNNNNGCGUCAUCGAACCUUAAGUGUGUAGACCCUACGGGUUCGCGAGACAUGCAGACAUGACUGAGAAAUCUCUCUGGCCAAUAACCAACAACGGGGUCUGGAUAUCGAUGUUGUUUCCCGCAUGUUCCACGAUGAUCUCACCGAAUGAACCACGAUGUCAAGGAUUCAAUCAACCCCGUAUACAAUUCCCUUUGUCUAUCGGUAUCCCUGUACCUUGUUCAAUCUCGUUACCGGCAAGUCUCUUUACUCGUUCCGUAACGCACCAUCCCGUGGCUAACUCCUUAGUCACACUGAGCUCAAUAUGAUGAUGGAUUACCGAGUGGGCCCACGGAUACCUCUCCGUCACACGGAGUGAAAAAUCCUGGUCUCGAUAUGUACAACUCAACACACAUUUUCGGAGAUACCCGUAGUGCACCUUUAUAAUCACCCAGUUACGUUGUGACGUGUGGUACACCCAAAGCACCCCUACGUUAUCCGGGAGUUGCACAGUCUCACGGUCUAAGGAAAUUAUACUUGACAUUAGAAAAGCUUUAGGAGACGAACAACACGAUGUAAUGCUAUGCUUAGGAUUGGGUCUUGUCCAUCGCAUCAUUCCCCAAUGAUGUGAUCCCGUCAUCAAUGACAUCCAAUGUCCAUGAUCAAGAAACCAUGAUCAUCUAUUGAUCAACGAGCUAGCUGAUACGUCCAUUUUGCAUCAUGCAUUCAUGUUGAUAUUUAUUUCUUUUUGGGUUGUUAUUUCACUUCACGGUACAAUACUUAUGCCUUUUCUCUCUUAUUUUGCGAGGUUUACAUGAAGAGGGAGAAUGUCGAUAGCUGGAAUUCUGGCCUGAAAAAGGAGCAAGUUUGAGAUGCCUAUUAUGCGCAACUCCAAAAGCCAUGAAAAUCAACGUGGAUUUUUUUGGGGAUAUAUAAAAAAUACUGGGCCAAAGAAGUGCGAGAGGAGCGCAACCAGGGGCACAAGCCUGGUAGGCGUGGCCACCCCCCUGGCCGCGCCUAGGGGACUUGUGGGCUCCCUGCUGGCCCACUGGCUCCCCUCUUGUGCUAUAUGAAGGGUUUCAUUCCGAAAAAAAUCAGGAGGAGGCUUUUCAGAGGAUUCGCCGCCGCCACGAGGCGGAACUUGACUAGAACUAAUCUAGAGCUCCGACAGGAUGAUCCUGCUGGGGAAACUUCCCUCACGGAGGGGGAAAUCGUCGCCAUCAUCAUCACCAACACUCCUCUCAUCAGAGGGGACUCAUCACCAUCAAUAUCUUCAUUAGCACCAUCUCAUCUCCAAACCCUAGUUCAUCACUUGUAACCAAUCUCCAGCUCGCGACUCCGAUUGGUACUUGUAAGGUUGCUAGUAGUGUUAAUUACUCUUUGUAGUUGAUGCUAGUUGGAUUAUUUGGUGGAAGAGUUUAUGUUCAGAUCCUUUACGCUACUCAUUACCUCUUUGGUAAUGAAUAUGAUUAUGCUUUGUGAGUAGUUACUUUUGUUCCUGAGGACAUGGGAUAAGUCAUGCUAUAAGUAGUCAUGUGAAUUUGGUAUUCGUUCGAUAUUUUGAUGUGUUGUAUGUUGUUUUUCGUCUAGUGGUGUUAUGUGAACGUCGACUACAUAACACUUCACCGUUAUUUGGGCCCAGAGGAAGGCAUUGGGAAGUAGUAAGGAGAUGAUGGGUUGCUAGAGUGACAGAAGCUUAAACCCUAGUUUAUGCGUUGCUUCGUAAGGGGCUGAUUUGGAUCCACUAGUUUAAUGCUAUGGUUAGACUUUGUCUUAAUUCUUCUUUCGUAGUUGCGGAUGCUUGCGAGAGGGGUUAAUCAUAAGUGGGAUGCUUGUCCAAGUAAGGGCAGUACCCAAGUGCCUGUCCACCCACAUAUCAAACUAUCAAAGUAACGAACGCGAAUCAUAUGAACAUGAUGAAACUAGCAUGACAGAAUUUCCCCUGUGUCCUCGGGAGCGUUUUUCCUCCUAUAAGACUUUGUCCAGGCUUGUCCCUUGCUACAAAAGGGAUUGGGCCACUUUGCUGCACCGUUGUUACUUUUGUUACCUGUUGCUUGCUACGAAUCAUCUCACCACACAACCACUUGUUACCGAUAAUUUCAGUGCUUGCAGAUAUUUCCUUGCUGAAAACCACUUGUCAGAUCCUUCUUCUCCUCGUUGGGUUCGACCCUCUUACUUAUCGUAAGGACUACAAUAGAUCCCCUAUACUUGUGGGUCAUCACUAGCCAACUAGAGGCUCACUAGGGACACAUUGUGAUCUAUAUAUUCAUAAUGUAUUACGGUUUCUGGUUAAUACAAUUAUAGCAUGAAUAAUAGACAAUUAUCAUGAACCGGAAAUAUAAUAAUAACUACUUUAUUAUUGCCUCUAGGGCAUAUUUCCAACAGUCUCACACUUGCACUAGAGUCAAUAAUCUAGUUACAUUGUGAUGAAUCGAACACCCAUAGAGUUCUGGUGCUGAUCAUGCUUUCCCAGUGGAAGAGGUUUACUCAACGGGUCUGCGACAUUCAGAUCUGUAUGUACUUUACAAAUAUAUAUAUCUCCAUCCUGGUUGUAUCCAUGAAUGGUGUUGAAGCGGCAUUUUAUGUGCUUGGUCUCCUUGUGAAACUUGGGCUCCUUUGCAAUAGCAAUAGCUCAAGUGUUGUGAGAGAACAGAGUCAUCGGGCCCGACGCACUUGGAAUCACUCCUAGGUCGGUGAUGAACUCCUUCAUCCAGACUCCUUCAUGUGCUGCUUCUGAAGCAGUUAUGUACUCCGCUUCACAUGUAGAUGCUGCCAUGAUGCUUUGCUUGCAACUGCACCAGCUUACUGCCCCAUUAUUCAAAAUGUACACGUAUCCAGUUUGUGACUUGGAGUCAUACGGAUCUGUGUCGAAGCUAACAUCGACGUAACCCUUUACGACAAGCUCUUCGGCACCUCCAUAGACGGGAAACAUAUAUUUAGUUCUUUUGAGGUACUUUAGGAUAUUCUUGAACGUUGUCCAGUGAUCCACUCCUAGAUCACUCUGGUACCUCGCUACCAAACUUAUGGCAAGGUUCACAUCAGGUCUGGUACACAGCAUGGCAUACAUGAUAGGGCCUAUGGAUGAAGCAUAGGGGAUGGUACUCAUGUUUUCUCUAUCUUCCGCCGUGGUCGUUCGUUCAGUCGCACUCAACCUCACACCUUGCAAUACAGGCAAGAACCCCUUCUUAGCCUUCUCCAUAUUGAACUUCUUCAAUAUCUUGUGAAGGUAUGUGCUUUCUGAAAGACCUAUGAGGCAUCUCGGUCUAUCUCCAUAGAUCUUGAUGCCUGAUAUGUAUGCACCUUCUCCAAGGUCCUUCAUUGAAAAAAUCUUAUUCAAAUAGGCCUUGAUGCUUUCCAAUAGUUAUAUAUCAUUUCCCAUCAACAAUAUGUCAUCCACAUAUAAUAUGGGAAAUGCUACAGAGCUCCCACUCACUUUCUUGUAAAUACAGGCUUCUCCAUAAGUCUGUAUAAACCCAAACGCUUUGAGCACCUCAUCAAAGCGAAUGUUCCAACUCUGAGAUGCUUGCACCAGCCCAUAGAUGGAGCGCUAGAGCUUGCAUACCUUGUUAGCACUGCUAGGAUCGACAAAACCUUCCAACUAUAUCAUAUACAACUCUUCUUUAAGAAAGCCGUUCAGGAAAUGCUGUUUUGACAUCUGAUGACCCACAAGUAUAGGGGAUCAAUCGUAGUCCUUUCGAUAAGUAAUAGUGUCGAACCCAACGAGGAGCAGAAGGCUCUGAUAAGCGGAUUUCAGCAAGGUAAUAACUGCAAGCAUUGAAAGUAGCGGUAACAAGUGAUUGUGUAGCAAGGUGAAACGUAGCAAGCAAAGAGUAACAAGUAACAAGUAGUAGCAACGGUGCAGCAAGUGGGCCAAUCCCUUUUGCAGCAAGGGACAAGCCUGAACAAAGUCUUAUAGGAGGAAAAACGCUCCCAAGGAUACACGGGAAUUUCUGUCAUGCUAGUUUCAUCAUGUUCAUAUGAUUCGCGUUCGUUACUUUGAUAGUUUGAUAUGUGGGUGGACCGGCGCUUGGGUACUGCCCUUACUUGGACAAGCGUCCCACUUAUGAUUAACCUCUCUUGCAAGAAUCUGCAACUACAAAAGAAUAAUUAAGACAAAGUCUAACCAUAGCAUUAAACUAGUGGAUCCAAAUCAAGCCCUCACGAAGCAACACAUAGACUGGGGUUUAAGCUUCUGUCACUCCAGCAACCCAUCAUCUACUUACUACUUCCCAAUGCCUUCCUCUAGGCCCAAAUAUGGUGAAGUGUUAUGUAGUCGACAUUCACAUAACACCACUAGAGGAAAAGACAAGAAACAACAUAUCAAAAUACCGAACGAAUAUCAAAUUCACAUGACUAUUAUUAACAUGACUUAUCCCAUGUACUCAGGAACAAAAGUAACUACUCACAAAACAUAAUCAUAAUCAUGAUCAGAGGAGUAAUGAAUAGCAUCAAGGAUCUGAACAUAAACUCUUCCACCAAGUAAUCCAACUAGCAUCAACUACAAAGAGUAAUCAACACUACUAGCAACCUUACAAGUACCAAUCGGAGUUGCGAGACGAAGAUUGGUUACAAGAGAUGAACUAGGUAUUGGAGAGGAGAUGGUGCUGAUAAAGAUGUUGAUGAAGAUGCCUCCGACGAGAGGAGUGUUGGUGAUGACGAUGGCGACGAUUCCCCCCUCCGGGAGGGAAGUUUCCCCAGCAGGAUCGUCGUGCGGAGCUCUAGAUUGGAUCUGCUCAAGUUCCGCCUCGUGGCGGCGGUGAAACCACGGAAAAGCUCCCGAAUGAAUUUUUUCUCGACCAAAACCCUUCAUAUAGCAAAAUGGGGGAGCUAGUGGGCUGUCAGGCAGCCCACAAGCUUGCCCUGCGCCACCAGGGGGGUGGUGGCGGUGGCAGGGCUUGUGGAGCCCUGGUGGCCCCCCUCCGGUAGUUCUUUCGCCCAGUAUUUUUUAUAUAAUCCAAAAAAAAUCCACGUAACUUUUCAGAGCAGUUGGAGAUGUGUAGAAUAGUGGACUAGGAUUUGCUCCUUUUCUAGUCCAGAAUUCCAGCUGCCUGAAUUCUCCCUCUUCAAAUAAACCUUGCAAAAUAAGAGAGAAAAGGCAUAAAUAUGGUACCACAAGUAAUAUAACAGCUCAAAAAGCAAUAAAUACCAACAUGAAAGCAUGAUACAAAAUGGACGUAUCAAUUCCCCCAAGCUUAGACCUCGCUUGUCCUCAAGCGAAAACCAAGUUCCAUAAACAUGUCCACAUGUUUGGGGACGAAGGUGUCGAUAAAACAUAAUACGGACAUGAGGGCAUCAUGAUCACACAUAGAACAACAAUACAUCAUAAAGAUUCUUAUGGGAAAGUAACAAUUCCUUCACAAAGUAAAGCAUGAAGCAAAAACCUUACCGAGAAGUAACCAACAAUAGUCCAUAGUCAUUGAAGCAAUUGCAAUUUAUCACAACAUCAGAAAUAGGCAAAUAAGAGCUUGUAAGGCAAACCCACAUACUCAAUCAUCUCUUUCGUUUUCCACAAUUGUUACAACUCACGUGGUACUCAUGGUGUCAAAGUUUCAGCUGGACACAGAGGAAGAUAGGGGCUUAUAGUUUUGCCUCCCAACGGUUUACCUCAAGGGUAAAGUCAAGAAAAAUAAAGCAUAAGUACUCAACUCCAAGUUGAUAUAUGAAUAUAGAUCUUUCCCAAACAUGUGACAGUUGCCAAGACAAAGGCAAAAAGGGAAUUGGUGAAGAUCACCAUGACUCUUACAAGGGCAAAAAGUAAAGUUACAAGAUAGGCCCUUCGCAGAGGGAAGCAGAGGUUGUCAUGCGCUUUUGAGGUUUGAAUGCGUGUCCUCUUAGUGCGGAGGAACGUCCCUUUAUAUUGCCUCCUGUGAUAAAGAACUUUAUUAUGCAGUCUGUCGCUUUUAUGUCUUCCUCAUCACAGGUUCGUACAAAGCUUAUUUUCCACACACUAAUAGAUCACACAUAUUAGAGAGCAAUUUUUUAUUGCUUGCACCGAUGACAACUUACUUGAAGGAUCUUAUUCAAGCCAUAGAUGGGUAUGGUGGACUCUCAUGGCAAAACUGGUUGGAGGUUUAUGGAUGCACAAGUAGUAUCUCUACUUGAUGCGGGAGUUUUGGCUAAUAUGAGGUGGAAGCAAUCGUCACAUGCUAAGGGAUCUCAAAUCAUAAAACAUUGUUUGGAACCAAGCAAAAACAAUUCAUUAUGUUGUCUUCCUUGUCCAACAUCUACUCCUAAGCAUGUAAUAGUUUGGUGAGUGCUCACAAUUGUAAAAAGUGGCUAAGAUGAUAUAUUUAUAUGUGAACCUCUCUUUCCUUAUUACUUCUUAUUAAUUGCAAUAAUGACUAAUGUCUAUGUUGAUUUAUUCUCAACAAGUUUCAAUCAUCAUACGUGUCAUAAGUGAAGUUAUCACUUUCCACAAGAUCGACUCAUGAUCUUUCAUGCUAUCGUUCUUUUCAUACUUUUUGAUCAUGGCACAAAGCAAAGCCCUUGACUAAGAAACUCUUUAUUAUAUAGCUCGUAAGCUCGAAUACAUCAGGGGGGGGGGAGACAAAAGCAAAAGACUCAAACUAAAAACUAAAGACUUAUUCCUCUAAAAGAAGAAAUAAAAACUGAAAAGGAAAGAACUAAAACAAAGGUAAAAGCAAAAUAUAUAAAGGUGAUACGAUACGAGGGCAACUCCCCCAAGCUUGGCAGAAGCCAAGGGGAUUGCCCAUACCAAUGCUUAGUUGUCUUCCUUUGGUGGUGAUGGUGGUGUUGUUGGAGCAGUCUUGAGCUUGUCUAAUUUCCACUUGAGCAAAAAGUUUUGCUCCCUUAGAUCGUCAUUUUCCUCCUCAAGUUUCAAAACUCUAUGCCAAAGCUCCUGCUUACUCUCUUGCAAGAAACGAGAAGGGGUAAAUAAAGUCUUGGGCUUCUUUCUUGAGUCGGGGAGGCUCGACUUCUUGAACUCCACAUGCGUGUCUCCAAUUUGAGGUAGAGGAGCCUCCUCCUCAUCGGAACUUGUUUGCCCCUUCCCCUUGGGAUCAUAUUCUUCUUCCUCCUCAGUGGUCCAGCCAUAAGGAUCCAAGUCCCCAUAGGCCUUGGGGUUAGCAAGGUCAUCUGCCACAUAGCUCUCCCCCUCUAAAUCUUGAGAAGACAUCUUGCCCUAAUUCUGUAGCAGAAAACAAGCUCGAAACGAAAACAGAGGGAAUUUGCAUGAUACACAGGUUAGACCCUUCGGGAGAAUAUAUAAUGAUUUUAUCCAGACCAGAAGGAGUAUUCCGCACGAAAACAGAGACCGGGAGGGGCACGAGGUGGCCACAAGCCCCCCAGCCCCGACCAGGGGGGUUGGCCGGGCCUAGGAGGCUUGUCGCCUCCUCAGGCACUUUCCGGACUGCUUUAAAUUUUUCUAUUUUUUAAAUAUUCCAAAAUGGAGGAAAAUUGCUACGGGAAAGGUUUUGGACUCGGUUUACUGACCGAAUCACAUACCUCUUCCUUUUCGGAGUCUGAAACAGGCUGAUAAGUAUCCCUUAUGUACUCCUCCGGAGUUAUGGUAUUGAUAAUAUUGCUCUCAACAUUUAUGGGAGUACCUGAGAUAUAAUGCUUGAUUCUCUGCCCAUUUACAACUCUUGGACAAUUACCUUCCAUGUUGUUGAUCUUGAUAGCACCGGAACGAUAUACUUCCUCAACAAUAUAGGGACCAUCCCAUUUAGAGAGAAGCUUGCCUGCAAAGAAUCUUAAACGAGAAUUGUAUAGCAAGACAUAAUCACCUACAUUGAACUCACGCUUUUGUAUCCUCUUAUCAUGCCACCUCUUAACCUUUUCUUUGAAUAACUAGGCAUUUUCAUAUGGCUGAGUUCUCCAUUCAUCAAGCGAGCUAUGUCAAAUAACCUCUUCUCACCAGCAUGUUUGAAAUCAAAGUUGAGCUCUUUGGUUGCCCAAUAAGCUUUAUGCACUAGCUCAAUAGGUAGAUGACAUGCUUUACCGUACACCAUUUUGUAUGGAGACAUGCCCAUGGGAUUCUUAUAGGCAGUUCUAUAAGCCCACAGUGCAUCAUCGAGCUUCUUAGACCAAUUGUUUCUAGACCUGUUGAUAGUCUUUUGCAGAAUCAGCUUAAUCUCUCUAUUGCUUAGCUCUACUUGACCACUGGACUGAGGGUGAUAGGGAGACGCAAUUCUAUGGUUGACAUCGUACUUAGCAAGCAUUUUAUGGAAAGCACCAUGAAUGAAAUGUGAACCACCGUCGGUCAUUAGAUAUCUAGGGACUCCAAACCUAGGGAAGAUAACUCCUUUAAGCAUCCUGAUAGAGGUGUUGUGAUCACCACUACUAUUGGGGAUAGCUUCCACCCACUUAGUGACAUAAUCAAGAACAACUAGGAUAUGAGUAUACCCGUUGGAUUUUGGAAAAGGUCCCAUAUAAUCAAAGCCCCAAACAUCAAAUGGUUGAAUGACAAGUGAAUAGUUCAUAGGCAUUUCCUGACGUUUACUAAUAUUAGCUAUUCUUUGACAUUCGUCACAAGACAAGACAAACUUACGGGCAUCCUUGAAGAGAGUGGGCCAAUAGAAACCUGAUUGCAAUACCUUGUGUGCAGUUCUAUCUCCCACAUGGUGUCCUCCAUAGGCCUCGGAGUGACACUUCUGUAGGAUCUAUCCCUGUUCAUGUUCAGGUACACAACAUCUAAUAACACCAUCUACUCCUUCCUUAUAAAGGUGAGGAUCAUCCCAAAAGUAAUGUCUCAAGUCAAAGAAGAAUUUCUUCUUUUGCUGAUACGUGAAACUGGGUGGUAUAUAUUUGGCAACGAUAUAGUUUGCAUAAUCAACAUACCACGGUGCACUACGUGAAGCAUUGAUGACACUCAAUUGCUCAUCGGGAAUGCUAUAUCAAUAGGUUGUGGAUCAUCAAGAACGUUCUCCAACCUAGACAAGUUAUCUGCUACAGGGUUAUCAACACCCUUCCUGUCGACAACGUGCUAGUCAAAUUCUUGUAGCAAGAGAACCCAUCUGAUAAGUCUAGGUUUAGCGUCCUUCUUCUCCAUCAGGUACUUAAUAGGAGCGUGAUCGGUGUGAAUAGUGACUUUGGAAUCAACUAUGUAAGACCUGAACUUUUCACAUGCAAACACGAGUGCUAAAAAUUCCUUUUCCGUAGUAGCAUAAUUUCUUUGGGCACUGUCCAGAGUUUUACUAGUGUAGUGAAUAACAUUCAGCUUCUUAUCAACUCUUUGCCCUAGGAUAGCACCAAUAGCAUAAUCACUAGCAUCACACAUAAUUUCAAAAGGUAAGUUCCAAUUAGGUGGUUGAACAAUAGGAGCAGUUAUCAAAGCCCUCCUAAGUAUUUCGAAGGCUUCCUCACAAUCAUUCUCAAAAACAAAAGGAAUAUCCUUUUGCAAGAGAUUGGUAAGAGGCCUAGAAAUCUUAGAGAAGUCUUUAAUGAACCUUCUAUAAAAACCAGCAUGACCAAGGAAACUUCUUAUACCUUUGAUAUCUGUGGGGUAUGGCAUUUUCUCUAUUGCAUCAACCUUAGCCUUAUCGACUUCAAUACCUCUUUCAAAAAAAUUAUGUCCUAAGACGAUGCCUUCAUUGACCAUAAAGUGGCACUUCUCCCAAUUCAAGACAAGAUUGGUGUCUUUACAUCUCCGCAAGACUCGAUCAAGGAUGCUGAGGCAAUCAUCAAAAGAAGACCCAUAAACGGAAAAGUCAUCCAUGAAAACCUCAACAAUCUUUUCACAAAAGUCAGAGAAUAUAGCCAUCAUACAUCUUUGAAAGGUGGCAUGUGCAUUACAUAAGCCAAAAGGCAUACGUCUAUAAGCAAAGGUACCGAAAGGGCAGGUGAAAGAGAUUUUCUCCUCAUCAGAUUGUGCAACUGGUAUUUGGGAGAAACCAGAAUAACCAUCUAGAAAGGAGAAGUGUGUGUGUUUAGACAGUCUUUCUAGCAUUUGGUCGAUAAAAGGUAAAGGGUAAUGAUCUUUCCUAGUGCCUUUAUUCAAUUUCCUAAAAUCGAUCACCAUCCUAUAGCCAGUAAUAAUCCUCUGUGGGAUCAAUUCAUCCUUAUCAUUAGGGACAACUGUAGUGCCUCCCUUCUUAGGGACGCAAUGCACCAGACUCAACCAAUCGCGAUGAGCAACAAGAUAAAUAAUACCUGCCUCCAGGAGCUUUAGUAUUACUUUUCUCACUACUUCUUUCAUUUUAGGAUUUAAUCUCCAUUGAUGAUCAACAACUGGUUUGGUAUCAGGAUCAGUUUUAAUCUUGUGUUGGCAUAGAGUGGGACUAAUUCCCUUAAGAUCAUCAAGAGUAUAUCCAAUAGCAGCACGGUGCUUCCUUAGAGUUUUUAGUAAUUUCUUUUCUUCAUGCUCUGAGAGGCUAGCACUAAUUAUGACAGGAUAUAUCUCUUUUUCAUCAAGAUAAGCAUACUUAAGAUCAUCAGGCAACUAUUUAAGCUCGAACACAGGAUCACCCUUUGGUGGGGGUGGAUCCCCAAGCAGCUCAACAGGCAGAUUAUUCUUAAGGAUAUGAUAUUGUUCUAAGACAACUCUAUCUAUCUCAUCCCUUUCAUCCAUAUGCAUAUCAUUUUCAUGGUCAAGCAAGUAUUGCUCUAAGGAAUCAGUAGGAGGCACGGUAAUAGAACCUAAGGCAAUAGUUUCAUCCUCACUAGGCAACUCCUUUUCAUGAGGUUGUCUACCAAACUUGGAGAAAUUGAACUGAAGUGACACACCUUCAACACCAACAGUGACAGUUUGCUUCUCACAAUCAAUAUGAGCAUUGACAGUAUUGAGAAAAGGUCUGCCAAAUAUGAUGGGACAAAAGCUAUCUUGGGUGGUAGCAAGAACGAGGAAAUCAGCAGGAUACUUCAUUUUACCACACAAGACUUCAACAUCCCUAACAAUUCCCACAUGGCAGACAAUAUUUCUAUUGGCAAGCUGAAUAGUGACAUCAAUAGGCUCUAUCUCAAGAGGUGCAAUCUCAUCUUUGAUUUCAUCAUAUAAGGAUUGAGGUAUUGCACUAACACUAGCACCCACGUCACAUAAACCAUGAUAGGAGUGAUCUCCUAUAUUAAUAGAAACAACAGGCGUGCCAACAACAACCUUAUGUUUGUCUCUAGCAUGAGGUUUAGCAAUUCUAGCAGCAUCUUCACAGAAGUGAAUAUUAUGUCCCUCAACAUCGUCGGACAAAAGAUCUUUUAUAAUAGCAAUGCUAGGUUCAACUCUAAUUUGCUCAGGGGGUGUAGGUGUUCUAAUGUAGCCUCUACGUAUCACAGUUGAGGCUUUAGAAUGAUCCUUUAUCCUAACAGGGAAAGGUGGUUUCUGAAUGUAAGCACUGGGAACAACAGGAUCAUUAUAGUCUAUGACUCUUUCUUCAACUGGAUUGGGUUUAACUACAUUGACUUCUAAAGGAGGAGGAUAUUUAAACUACUUUUCUUUGGGGAUAUUGUUACGGCAACAGACAACAGUGCCAUGAAUUGACACGUUGACGGAGUCUGGGCUUGCGUUGGUUUUUCCCUUGAAGAGAAAAGGGUGAUGCAGCAUAGGAGCAGUAAGUAUUUCCCUCAGUUUUGAGAACCAAGGUAUCAAUCCAGUAGGAGAAUCUCAUCAAGUCCAGAGUACCUGCACAAACACAAAAGAGCUUGCACCCAACGCUUUAAAGGGGUUGUCAAUCCCUUCAAGAUUGAUUGCAAAGUGAGAUCUGAAGGCGGAAAGUGCAACGAAGUAAAAAGUGUAAGGCUGAAAAUAUGGUGUGGAGUAGACCCGGGGGCCAUAGUAUUCACUAGAGGCUUCUCUCAAAAUAGAAAAUAUCACGGUGGGUGAACAAAUUACUGUCGAGCAAUUGAUAGAACCGCGCAAAGUCCUGACGAUAUCUAAGCCAAUGAUCAUCCAUAUAGGCAUCACUUCCGACACAAGUAGACCGAUACUUUCUGCAUCUACUACUAUUAGUCCACACAUGGACCGCUAACCAGCAUGCAUCUAGUGUAUUGAGUUCAUGGCGAACAGACUAACGCCUUAAGCAAGAUGACAUGAUGUAGAGGGAUAAUGUCAAACCAAUGAUGAAAACCCUAUCUUUUUACCCUUGAUGGCAACAACACGAUGCGUGCCUCGCUACCCCUUCUGUCACUCGGUGAUGUCACCACAUGGUAUGAACCCAAAACCAAGCACUUCUCCCAUUGCAAGAACCAUAGAUCUAGUUGGCCAAACAAAACCCACAACUCGAAGAGAAUUACAAGGAUAUGAAAUCAUGCAUAAGAGAGAUCAGAAGAAACUCAAAUAAGAUUCAUAGAUAAUCUGAUCAUAAAUCCACAAUUCAUCGGAUCUCGACAAACACACCGCAAAAGAAGAUUACAUUGGAUAGAUCUCCAUGAAGAUCAUGGAGAACUUUGUAUUGAAGAUCCAAGAGAGAGAAGAAGCCAUCUAGCUACUAGCUAUGGACCCGUAGGUCUAUGGUAAAUUACUCAAGCAUCAUCGGAGAGGUCAUGGUGUUGAUGAAGAAGCCCUCCGUGUCCGAAUCCCCCCUCCGGCAGGGCACCAGAACGUGCCCUAGAUGGGAUCUUGUGGAACAGAAGCUUGCGGCAGCGGAAAAGUUCUUUCGAUGAUCUCUUGAUUAUUUUGGGAUUUUUAGGGAAUAUAUAGGCGCAAAACCUAGGGCAAAGGAGCCUCAGGGAGCCCACAAGCCAGGGGGCCGCGGGCCCCCAUGGCCGGGCCAUGAGGGCUUGUGGGUCCCUGGUGGGCCCCUGCCCUGAUUCUCGGGCUCUCCGAUCUUUUUGUGUACUAGAAAAAAUCUUUUUGGAAGUUUCAUUCCGUUUGGACUCCUUUCAAAAUCCUCCUCUGAAAGGGGUCAAAAACAUGGAAAAACAGGAACUGACACUUGGCACUGAGUUAAUAAGUUAGUCCCAAAAAAUAUAUAAAAGGCAUACAAAACAUCCAAAGUUUGACAAGAUAAUAGCAUGAAACCAUAAAAAAUUAUAGAUACGUUGGAGAUGUAUCAAGCAUCCCCAAGCUUAACUCGUGCUCGUCCUCGAGUAGGGAAGUGAUAAAGAAUGAAUUUUUGAUGUGGAAUGCUACCUAGCAUAGUUGUCCUUUGCAACUUCUUUCACGUGACAUGAAUGUUCAGAUCCGUAAGAUUCAAAACAAUAGUUUGCUAUUGAAAUGAAAACAAUAAUACUUCAAGCAAACUAGCAAGGUAAUCAUGAACUUUCAAAAUAACAUGGCCAAAGAAAGUUAUCCCUACAAAAUCAUAUAGUCUGGCUAUGCUCCAUCAUCCUCACACAACUAAUGUAAAUCAUGCACAACCCCGGUAUUGGCCAAGUAAUUGUUUUCACACUCUUACUUUCUCAAACUUUUUAUAACUAUCACGCAAUACAUGAGCGUGAGCCAUGGAUAUAACACUAUAGGUGGAAUAGAGUGUGGUGGUGGUUGUCAGACAAAAAGGAGGAGAUGGUCACAUUGACUCGGCGUAUCAAAGGGCUAUGGAGAUGCCCAUUAAUAGAUAUCAAUGUGAAUGAGUAGGGAUUGCCAUACAAGGGAUGCACUAGAGCUAUAAGUAUGUGAAAGCUCAAAAGUAGAACUAGUGGGUGUUCAUCCAACUUGCUUGCUCACGAAGACCUAGGGCAAUUUUGAGGAAGCCCAUCGUUGGAAUAUACAAGCCAAGUUAUAUAAUGAAGAUUCCCACUAGCAUAUGGUGGUGACGAAACGAGAGGCUCUCAAUCAUGAAGAACAUGGUGCUAUUAUGAAGCACAAGUGUGGAAAAGGAUAGUAGCAUUGUCCCUUCUCUCUUUUUCUCUCUUCUCUUUUUUUUAUUUGGGAUCUUGGGCCUCUUUUUUCUCUUUUCUCCUCUUUUUUUUAUUGGGCACUUUGGCCUCUUUUUUUUAUUUCUCACAUCGGACAAUGCUCUAAUAAUGAUGAUCAUCACACCUUUAUUUACUCAUAGCUCAAAGCGAUGAUGACUCUAUAGGAAAUGCCUCCGGCAGUGUACCGGGAUGUGCAACGAUCUUGCUUGGUGUAUGACGUUGAAACAUCUCGCUAGCUAUCUUACGAUCAUGCAAUGGCAAUAUGAGGGUGACGGCACAAGUCAUGAGACGGAAUGGUGGGAGUUGCAUGGCAAUAUAUCUCAGAAUGGCUAUGAAAAUGCCAUAGUAGGUAGAUAUGGUGGCUGUUUUGAGGAAGGCAUAUGGUGGGUUUAUGUACCGGGGAAGUUGCGCGACACUAGAGAAGCUAGCAAUGGUGGAAGGUGAAAGUGCAUCUAUACCAUGGACUCACAUUAGUCAUGAAGAACUCACAUACUUGUUGCGAAAGUUUUUAUUAGUAACCGAAACAAAGUGCUAAACGCAUACUCCUAGGGGAAGGGUUGGUAGGUGAUAACCAUCACGCGAUCCCGACCUCAACACAAAGGAUGACAAUCAAUAGAUCAAUUAUGCUUCGACUUCCUAACAUAGCGGUUCACCGUACGUGCAUGCUACGGGAAUCACUAACUUCAACACAAGUAUUUCUAGAUUCACAACACCCUACUAACAUAACUCUUAAUAUUACUGAAUCCACGUCUCAAAAUUAAUUGAGAGGAAUCAAGACUUCUCUUUCUACUCAAUGCACAUGAAGAUGGAGGUUUUUUUAUCCUAUUUUGGUACCUAUCACCUUUGGGACUACUUUCAUAGCAUAAGCCAACUACCAAGUCACGCACCACCGUGCUCUAAAAGAUAUAAGUGAAGCACAUAGAGCAAAAUUAUCUAGCUCAAAAGAUAUAAGUGAAGCACUAUGAGCAUUCUAGCAAAAUCACGAUGAGUGCAUGUCUCUCUCUCUCAAAAGGGUGUGCAGCAAGGAUUAUUGUGACACAACAAAAAGAAAAGACUCCUACGAUACAAGACGCUCCAAGCAAAACACAUAUGAUGUGGUGAAUAAAAAUAUAGCUCCAAGUAAUGUUACCGAUGGAUUGAGGACGAAAGAGGGGAUGCCUUCCCGGGGCAUCCCCAAGCUUAGGCUUUUUGGUGUCCUUGAAUUUGGCUUGGGAUGCCUUGGGCAUCCCCAAGCUUGAGCCCUUUCAACUCCUUAUCUCUUUGUCCAUGAGAACAUCACCCAAAACUUGAAAACUUCACAACACAAACCUUAAAUAGAAACUCGUGAUAACAUUAUCAAAAGAAAACAAACUACCACCUCCUUUGGUACUGUAGCAAACUUGAAUUCUAUCUAUAUUGGUGUUGGGCUACUGUAUUCUCACUUUUCCCUGGCUAGUACCCCUCGAUACUAACCAUAGUUUCAUCAAAACAAGGAAUCAACUCAACAAAAACAGAAGCUGUCAAAAACAGACGAGUCUGUAGCAAUCUGUAUACUUCGUAUACUUACGGUACCUCAAAAAUUCUGAAAAAUUACGAAUGCCUAGGAAAAAGGUAUAUCAACAAGCAGCAAAAAGAAUCAACUCAAAAGCUCUUUCUUAAUAAAAAUGAAAAAUCAUCUCGUGAGCGAAAAGUUUCUGUCUUUUUCCAGCAGGAUCAAAGAACCAUUACCAAGACUAGUCAUAAAGAUUUUGCUUGGCUCAAACACAAAAAGAAACACAAAAAACACAAUCACAACAGAAUUAUGAUGGUGUGGACGCAACAAAACAGAAAGAAAAAAGAUAAAUUCAUUGGGUUGCCUCCCAACAAGUGCUAUUGUUUAACGCCCUUAGCUAGGCAUAAGGCAAACAUAUCUAAGUCUAACAUACUUCCUAUGCAUAGGCAUUUUAUAGGAAAACGAAUUGUCAAGACAACCAAUAACUACCAUAUACAAGGAAGAAGAAAGAGACAAUGUCAAUCUGAACAUAACGAGAGGUAAUUUAGUGAUAUGAAAGUUUCUACCACAAUAUUUUCUUCUGUCAUAACAAUUGCAUGUGGGAUCAUCAUCAAAUUUAACAAUAUAGCUAUCACAUAGGAUAUUCUUUUCAUGAUCCUCAUGCAUGCAAAGUUGACGCUCUUCAAUAAUAGUGGGAUUAUCAUCAACUAAAGUCAUGACUUCUCCAAGCCCACUUUCAAUAUUAUUGCAAAUAUCAUAUUCAUCAUGAGGCUUAAACAAAUUUUCAAGAUCAUAAUAAAAAUCAUCGCCCCACUCAUGAUCAUUGCAAGAAGUAGUGGACAUAGCAAAACUAGCAUCCCCAAGCUUAGGGUUUUGCAUAUUUUUAGCAUGAUUGUCACUAAUAGAAUUUAUGGUGAAACCAUUGCAAUCAUGCUUUUCAUCCAAGGAUCCCUCAUGAAUCACUUCAUAAAUUUCUUCCUCACAAUUUUGAAAUUCAUGCAUCUCAAGCAAAACUCCAUAAAGAUGGUCAAGUGCACUCAACUCACUAGCAAUUGGAUCAACAUAAUUGGAUCUCUUAAAGAGAUUAGCAAGUGGAUGAGGAUCCAUAUCACUAGAUUUUCAGCAAGCGAAGAUGCAAGCAUAUUGAAGGCACAUGGCACACAAGCAAACAGAAAGCAAGCAAGAGAAAGGGCGAAUGAAAAGGCGAACGAAAAAGGCAAACAAAAAAAGGCAAAUUGGUGAAUUGGGGGAGAGGAAAACGAGAGGCAACUGGCAAACAAAGUAAAUGCAAGAGAUGAGUUUGCGACACUUACUAGGAUGAGUUCUUGACUUGAUCCUCCGUGGCAACGGCGCCAGAAAUUCUUCUGCUACGGCAACAGACAACAACGCCAGGAAUUGACACGUUGACGGAGAAUGGGCUUGCGUUGGUUUUUCCCUUGAAGAGGAAAGGGUGAUGCAGCACGAUAGCAGUAAGUAUUUCCCUCAGUUUUGAGAACCAAGGUAUCAAUCCAGUAGGAGAAUCUCGUCAAGUCCAGAGUACCUGCACAAACACAAAAGAGCCUGCACCCAACACAUUAGAGGGGUUGUCAAUCCCUUCAAGAUUGAUUGCAAAGUGAGAUCUGAAGGCGGAAAGUGCACCGAAGUAAAAAGUGUAAGGCUGAAAAUAUGGUGUGGAGUAGACCCGGGGGCCAUAGUGUUCACUAGAAGCUUCUCUCAAAAUAGCAAAUAUCACGGUGGGUGAACAAAUUACUGUCGAGCAAUUGAUAGAACCGCGCAAAGUCAUGACGAUAUCUAAGGCAAUGAUCAUACAUAUAGGGAUCACGUCCGAGACAAGUAGACCGAUACUUUCUGCAUCUACUACUAUUACUCCACACAUCGACCGCUAUCCAGCAUGCAUCUAGUGUAUUGAGUUCAUGACGAACAGAGUAACGCCUUAAGCAAGAUGACAUGAUGUAGAGGGAUAAUCUCAAACCAAUGAUGAAAACCCCAUCUUUUUACCCUUGAUGGCAACAACACGGUGCGUGUCUCGCUACCCCUUCUGUCAUUGGGUGAGGUCACCGCACGGUAUGAACCCAAAACCAAGCACUUCUCCCAUUGCAAGAAUCAUAGAUCUAGUUGGCCAAACAAAACCCACAACUCGAUGAGAAUUACAAGGAUAUGAAAUCAUGCAUAAGAGAGAUCAGAAUAAACUUAAAUAGGAUUCAUAGGUAAUCUGAUCAUAAAUCCAAAAUUCAUCGGAUCUCGACAAACACACCGCAAAAGAAGAUUACAUCGGAUAGAUCUCCAUGAAGAUCAUGGGGAACUAUGCAUUAAAGAUCCAAGAGAGAGAAGAAGCCAUCUAGCUACUAGCUAUGGACCCAGAGGUCUAUGGUGAACUACUCACGCAUCAUCGGAGAGGUCAUGGUGUUGAUGAAGAAGCCCUCCGUGUCCGAAUCCCCCCUCCGGCAGGACACCAGAACGUGCCCCAGAUGGGAUCUUGCGGAGACAAAAGCUUGCGGCGGCGGAAAAGUUCUUUCGAUGAUCUCCUGAUUUUUUUGGGAUUUUUAGGGAAUAUAUAGGCACAAAACCUAGGGCAAAGGAGCCUCAGGGAGCCCACAAGCCACGGAGACGCGGCCCCCCUGGCCACGCCAUGAGGGCUUGUGGGGUCCCUGGUGGGCCCCUUCCCUGAUUCUCCGGCUCUCCGAUCUUUUUCUGUUCUAGAAAAAAUCUUUUUGGCAGUUUCAUUCCGUUUGGACUCCGUUCAAAAUCCUCCUCUGAAAGGGGUCAAAAAACAUGGAAAGAACAGAAACUGGCACUUGGCACUGAGUUAAUAAGUUAGUCCCAAAAAAUAUAUAUAAGGCGUACAAAACAUCCAAAGUUUGACAAGAUAAUAGCAUGAAACCAUCAAAAAUUAUAGAUACGNNNNNNNNNNNNNNNNNNNNNNNNNNNNNNNNNNNNNNNNNNNNNNNNNNNNNNNNNNNNNNNNNNNNNNNNNNNNNNNNNNNNNNNNNNNNNNNNNNNNNNNNNNNNNNNNNNNNNNNNNNNNNNNNNNNNNNNNNNNNNNNNNNNNNNNNNNNNNNNNNNNNNNNUUAUAGAUACGUUGGAUACGUAUCAGAUAUCAAUAUGAGCAGCAAAUGAUUCACACAAUGAAGCUACUAUGUGAGAGUCAAGUCCAUACUUAGCGUUAAAGUCACAAAAAGUGUUUGUUUCAACAAAGGAUUUAACACAAUCAAACUGGAAAUUCAUACCUGACUCCUUACCUUCUUCAAGCUCCCAAUCUUCAGAGUUGCGUUUAAUUAUCUCCAAUAAAUUCCAUUUGAAGUCAAUAUCUCUCUUCAUAAAAGAACCGGUACAAGAAGUAUCAAGCAUGGUGCGAUCAUCAUGAGAAAGCCGAGCAUAAAAGUUCAGAAUGAUAAUUUCUCUUGAGAGCUCAUGAUUGGGGCAUGAAUAUAACAUUGAUUUAAGCCUCCCCCAAGCUUGAGCGAUGCUUUCUCUGUCACGAGGCCAAAAAUUAUAAAUAUAAUUCCGAUCACAAUGUACUAAAUGCAUAGGAUAAAACUUUUGAUGAAAUUCCAAUUUCAACCGAUUUUAGUCCCAUGAUCCAGUAUCAUCACAUAGCCUAUACCAUGUCAACGCCUUAUCCUUCAAAGAUAAAGGAAAGACCUUCUUCUUGACCUCAUCCCCGAGCAAACCUGCAAGCUUAAAUAAACCACAAGCUUCAUCUACAUAGAUUAGAUGCAAGUCUGGAUGUGAUGUUCCAUCUCCUGUAAAAGGAUUAGCCAGCAGUUUCUCAAGCAUACCCGAAGGAAAUUCAAAGAAAAUAUUUUCUGUAGGUGCAGCAGGUUGAGGAGCAACUCUUUGUGCUUCCAUUCAAGGUGAAGAUACCCCGAACAAGCCCCUCAAAGGAUUAGUAUCCAUAGUGACAAGUGACAAUGAAUUUUUGCACACUAUAUGAAUGUUUCCUUACCAGGUUCCACUUACCAAAGGCGCUUCACUCCUUGGCAACGGCGCCAGAAAAGAGUCUUGAUAACCCACAAGUAUAGGGGGUCAAUUGUAGUCCUUUCGAUAAGUAAGAGUGUCAAUCCCAACGAGGAGCAGAAGGAUCUGACAAGUGGUUUUCAGCAAGGUAAUAUCUCCAAGCGCUGAAACUAUCGGUAACAAGUGAUUGUAUGGUGAGAUGAUUCGUAGCAAGCAACAAGUAACAAAAGUAGCAAUGGUGCAACAAAGUGGCCCAAUCACUUUUGUAGCAAGGGACAAGCCUGGACAAAGUCUUAUAGGAGGAAAAACGCUCCCAAGGACACACGGGAAUUUCUAUCAUGCUUAGUUUCAUCAUGUUCAUAUGAUUCGCGUUCGUUACUUUGAUAGUUUGAUAUGUCGGUGGACCAGCGCUUGGGUACUGCCCUUACUUGGACAAGCAUCCCACUUAUGAUUAAUCCCUUUCACAAGCAUCCGCAACUACGAAAGAAGAAUUAAGACAAAGUCUAACCAUAGCAUUAAACUAGUGGAUCCAAAUCAGCCCCUUACGAAGCAACGCAUAAACUAGGGUUUAAGCUUCUGUCACUCUAGCAACCCAUCAUCUCCUUACUACUUCCCAAUGCCUUCCUCUGGGCCCAAAUAACGGUGAAGUGUUAUGUAGUCGACGUUCACAUAACACCACUAGAGGAGAAACAACAUACAACACAUCAAAAUAUCUAACGAAUACCAAAUUCACAUGACUAUGAUUAGCAUGACUUAUCCCAUGUCCUCGGGAACAAAAGUAACUACUCACAAAGCAUAAUCAUGUUCGUGACCAGAGAGGUAAUGAGUAGCAUCGAGGAUCUGAACAUAAACUCUUCCACCAAAUAAUCCAACUAGCAUCAACUACAAGGAGUAAUUGACACUACUAGCAACCUUACAAGUACCAAUCGGAGUCAUGAGACGGAGAUUGGUUACAAGUGAUGAACUAGGGUUUGGAGAUCAGAUGGUGCUGAUGAAGAUGUUGAUGGUGACGAGUCCCCUCCGAUGAGAGGAGUGUUCGUGAUGACGAUGGCGACGAUUUCCCCCUCCGGGAGGGAAGUUCCCCGGCAGGAUCGUCCUACCGGAGCUCUAGAUUGGUUCUGCUCAAGUUUUGGCUCGUGGCGGUGGCGAAACCUCCGAAAAGCUCCCCCCUGAUUGUUUUUCCGGACGAAACCCUUCAUAUAGCAAAAUAUGAGCGCCAGAGGGGCAACAGGGGGCCCACAGGCCCUCCAGCCCCGGCCAGGGGGGUAGGCCGGGCCUGGCAGGCUUGUGGCCUCCAGGUCGAGCCCCUCUGGUACUUCUUUCGCCAACAUUUUUUAUAUAUUCCCAAAAAAUUCCACGUUGAUUUUCACGACUUGUGGAGUUGCGCAGAAUAGGCAUCUCAAACUUGCUCCUUUCUCAGGCCAGAAUUCCUGCUGUCGGCAUUCUCCCUCUUCAUGUAAACGUUGCGAAAUAAGAGAGAAAAGGCAUAAGUAUUGUACCUCGGAGUGUAAUAACAGCCCAAAAAGCAAUAAAUAUCAACAUGAAAACAUGAUGCAAAAUGGACGUAUCAGUCCACAUGUUUCAUGCUAUGGUUAGAUUUGUCUUAAUUCUUCUUUCGUAGUUGCAGAUGCUUGUGAGAGGGUUAAUCAUAAGUGGCUUGCUUGUUCAAGUAAGAAUACCACUUUAGCACCAUUCCACCCACAUAUCAAAUUAGCAAAGUAACGAACGUGAAUCAACUCAACAUGAUGAACAUGACUAGACCGAGAUUCCCAUGUGUCCUUAGAGCGCUUCCUUCAUAUAAGAGUACUUUCACGAUCGUCCUUUGCUAUAAGAAGGAUUGAGGUUACUUGCUGCACAUUUUAUACUAUUGUUACUCAACACCUGCUAUGAAGUAUCUUUCUACAAAACUAUUUAUCAUCGUUACUCACAUAACUUGUCGAGAAUACCUUGCUAAAAUUGCGUAUCAUUUCCUUUCGCUCCUCAUUAGGUUCGACACUCCUACUUAUCGAAAAGACUACGAUUGAGCCCCCUAUGCUUGCGGGUCAUCAAGGCACUUUUCUAUCACUAUUGUCGUAGAGUGAAGCUCCUUUGGUAAGUGGAAUUUGGUAAGGAAACAUUUUCGGAACUAGCUGUAAUUUACCGUUGGUUGCUAAUAUAGAUAAUCAUCCUUUGAGUGGUUUGUUUGGGGCAUCAUUGCGUCAAACAUAAGUGGCAAAAGCCACUACUCAACCUACAGAACUUUCUGAAAAAUUUUAUUUUGAUAUUUCAUCGGGUAUUUAGAGAAACUGCUAGCUAAUGCUUUUGCAGGAGAUGGUAGAACUCAUCCUUAUUACCACUUGAUACAUGUAGAUGAGAUUUGUGGAUUAUUUAAGGUUCUAGGUUUAUCCGAGGAUAAGGUCAAUAAGAAUGUUUUGCUAUUAUCUUUGGAGGGAAAAUAAUUUAUGUGGUAUAGGCUAUUGGAUGAUAUUGGUUCAUGGGACUGGAAUCGCUUGAAGCUGGAAUUUUGUCAGAAGUUUCAUCUUAUGCAUCUAGUUCAUCGUGAUCGGAACUAUAUACAUAAUUUCUGGCCUCGUGAAGGAGAAGGCGGUGCUCAAGACUGGGAGAGGCUUAAGUCUAUGAUGCACACUUUCCCGAACCAUGAGCUCUCAAGAGAAACGAUUAUACAAAACUUCUAUGCUCGACUUUCUCAUGAUGAUCAAUUAGUACUCGAUUUUCUUCUACUUGUUCCUAAAUGAAGAUAACUAUUGAAUCCAAAUGGGAUAUUUUGGAAAGAAUUAAACGCAACUCUAGAUAUAGGGAACUUGAUAGAAGUAAAGAGUCGGGUAUAAAGCUUGAGUUUGAUUGUGUUAUAUCUUUUAUGGAAACUCAUUCUUUUCAUAAGUUUAGCAAUAAAUACAGACUUGACUAUGAGAAAGUAGCUUCUUUAUGUGAAUCAUUUGCUACCCAUGUUGAUCUCCUUAAGGAGAAGUGGUUUCAAUUUCAUCGACCCAUUGAAGAAUUAUUAUAGAAACCCAUUAAGGUUAAAUAGGAAAUAAUUGUUAACCUUGUCGAUCAACUAGUGCCUACUACUUAUUUUGAGAAACCACCUUUUCCUAUUAGGAUUAAGCAACAUGCUAAGGCUUCAAUAGUGGUUAAUAAAAGUAAUAUUAGGAGACCUAAACCUUCUGAGAAAAUAAAAGUAGAACCUAAUAUUUAUAUGGUUAAAGAUAUUCUAGUUGAUAAUAUUGAUGGCCUAGUUAUUUACUUUUGUGCUGAAGCUACUAAAAUUGCAAAUCUUGUUAGAAACAAGCAGGAUGGGUUAGAUAAAAAUAAAUCAAUUGCUGGCAUGCCCAUUGUUUCUGUUAAAAUUGGAGAUCAUUGUUAUCAUGGCUUGUGUGAAAUUGGUGCUAGUUCUAUACCUUUUACGUUAUACCAAGAAAAUAUGCAUGAUAUAUCACCCACUGAGAUUGAAGAUAUUGAUGUCACUAUUAAACUCGCAAACAGAUACACUAUUUCACCACUCGGGAUUGUUAGAGAUGUUGAAGUCUUAUGUGGAAAAAUUAAGUAUCAUACUGAUUUAUUAGUACUUGGUUCACAACAAGAUAGCUUUUUUCCCAUCAUAUUUAGUAGACCUUUCUUGAAUAUCCUUAUUCCUGAAAUUAAUUGUCUUACUCAGAAGGUUAAAGUAAAAUUUGGUAAUAUGUAUCAUGAAUUUAAUUUAUCCAAGUUUAGUAGACAACCACAUGAAAUUAUGUAGUAAGGAUGCAAUUAUUGGUGUUUAUUCUAUUGCUAUGCCUCCUAUGGAUCCUUUGAACAAUACUUGCUAGACCAUGAGAAUGACAUGCAUAUGAAUGAAAGAAAUGAACAAGAUGAAAAUUUCUUUAGACAAACACCUAUUCUUAAACAAAAUUUGCCUAUUGAUAUUUUAGGGGAUUGUCCUCCACCCAAGGGAGAACCCAUGUAUGAUCUAAACAAAUUACAUGAUACUUUGAAAUAUACUUAUCUCUAUGAAAACAAGAUAUAUCCUAUUAUUAUUAGUGCUAACGUUUGAGAGGAUGAAGGUAAGAGAUUACUUCAAACUCUAAGGAAGCACAGAUCUACUAUUGGAUAUACUCUCUAUAAUCUUAAGGGCAUUAGUACCAUUAUAUGUCAGCACAAAAUGAAUACGGAACAAAAUGAUAAACCUAUUGUUGAUCAUUAACGCUGCUUAAACCCUAAGAAGAAGGAAGCGGUAAGAACUGAAAUAUUAAAGCUUCUGGAGGCAGUUAUAAUUUAUCAUAUUGGUGAUAGUAGAUGGGUAAGUCAUGUUCAUUGUGCGCCUAAUAAAGGAGGUAUAAUUGUUGUUCUUAACGAUAAAAAUGAACUUAUCCCACAAAGAAUCAUAAAUGGUUAUAGGAUGGUAAUCGAUUUCACGAAAUGAAACAAAGGUCAUUACCCCUUGCCUUUUAUUGACCAAAUGCUAGAGACAUUAUCUAAGCACACACAUUUUAGUUUCUUGAUGGAUAUUUGUGAUUCCCCUGACUUAGUCAUGAAGUAAUCAUAUAGGCAAAUCCGCACAAUCAAUAUCGGAGGCUCAUAGGAAGAUAUCACUACACAACUAUAGACACAUAUAAAGUAAUACAAGCUUUAUAUUACAAGCGAGGGGCCUCGAGGGCUCGAAUACAAUUGAUUCAGCGGAAGCAACAAUAUCUAAGUUCAAACAUAAGUAAACAAGUAUGCCUUAAGAAGCCUAGCAAAAGCAACAACAUCUAGAUUGAAAAGGCGCAAGCCACUUGCCUGGGAGCCUCCUAACUACUCCUCGUCGGCGGCAGCCUCCACUCAGUAGUAGCCUCUGUCGGGGUAGUAGUAGUCAUCGGCGGGAUCAAUUGGCUCAUGGGCUCCUUCAUCUGAUCGCAGCAAUCAUAUUGAGGGGAAAAAGGAAGCAAAGCAAUGGAAAGUACUCAUCCGAAGUACUCGCUAGACUUACAUCAUAUCUAUACUAAGUAUGCAUCAGUAUCAAAGGCAUGGGGCUAUAUCUUUGGACUGAAAUACAGAAAUGCCAGAAGAGAGGGGAAAAGCCUAGUAUAUCAAAGACUAGCAUCUUCUAGCGUCUUGCAGCGUUGGAAGAGUUCACAUUAGUUCAACAUAUGUAAGCUUGUAGUAUUAAGGACGAGAGAUCAUUCCUCGACUUCCUUGACUUCGAGCGUCUUGCAAUCAUUGGGGAACGUCGCAUGGGAAACAAAAAAUUCCUACGCGCACAUAAGAUAUAUCCAUGGUGAUAAGCAUCUACGAGAGGAGAGAGUGCAUCUGCAUACCCUUGUAGAUCGCCAAGAGGAAGCGUAUAUAACAUUGUUGAUGUAGUCGAACUUCUUCACGAUCCAAAUCGCAAGCCGUCCCGCGAACACAUCAUGAUCCCUCCCGCGAUCUCAUCACGAUCCAUCCCGAUCUAGUGCCCAACAGAUGGCACCUCCGUGUUCAGCACACGUACAGAUCGAUGACAAUCUAUGCCUUCUUGAUCUAGCAAGAGGGAGCAGAGAGGUAGCUGAGUUCUGCGAUAGACUAGCGGCAUGGCGGUGAUGGUGGGGGAGCUGAUCCGACAGGGCUUCAUCGUGCACUGCCGAACCUAUUCUAGAGGAAGAACAAACUAGAGGGAGGGAGCGGGGUUGCGCCUUAGAUUAAGGUGUUGGCUGCCCUCUCUCCCCUCUAGUAUAUAUAGGAGGAUAAGGGAAGGGGUGGCACACCAAAAGGAGGAUUCCUCCUCCACUAAGGGAGGUGGAGUCCUACUCCUAGUAGGAUUCCCUCCCAACUUAGCCUCCUCCUACCUCCUUGGCGCAAGGGCCUUUAGGGGCUGGCUGCCGAUCCCACUAAGGGCUGGUGCACCACCUCUUAGGCCCAUGUGUGGACUUCUCCCGAUGNNNNNNNNNNNNNNNNNNNNNNNNNNNNNNNNNNNNNNNNNNNNNNNNNNNNNNNNNNNNNNNNNNNNNNNNNNNNNNNNNNNNNNNNNNNNNNNNNNNNCAAAAUCGGUGCCACCAAGAAUUCUAUUUCGGCCCCACCGAUUUUUCCGCAAACAAAACCUUUGCCAAACCCUAAUCUCUCGGUACCACCAACUUUCAUAUCGGUGCCACUGAAAGUUAGUCACGAACUUUCUGUUCUGUCAAUUUAAAGAAUCAGAAUUUCCGAGUUUUAAAAUCAGUCUUACCGAGAUUUGGAAAUCACCCUAGGUCACAAAAUCGGAACCACCGAGAUUCAUAUAUCAGUCUCACCGAGAAUUUAAAACUUGGCCACAUUUGGUGCAACUCGGUACCACUGAGAUUCAUGUCAGUGUCACUUAGUUGGGCAAUAAUGUUGUAUCGGUUGGAUUUUGGGAGAUGCCUAUUGAUGUCAGCUGUGCUUCCCUGGCAACGAUGCUGGGAAUACUUCUGCUACUGCAACAAAAGACCUUCCAACGUCGCCAGAAAUAGGUGUGUCGAUGGCACCAGGAAUCCUUNNNNNNNNNNNNNNNNNNNNNNNNNNNNNNNNNNNNNNNNNNNNNNNNNNNNNNNNNNNNNNNNNNNNNNNNNNNNNNNNNNNNNNNNNNNNNNNNNNNNNNNNNNNNNNNNNNNNNNNNNNNNNNNNNNNNNNNNNNNNNNNNNNNNNNNNNNNNNNNNNNNNNNNNNNNNNNNNNNNNNNNNNNNNNNNNNNNNNNNNNNNNNNNNNNNNNNNNNNNNNNNNNNNNNNNNNNNNNNNNNNNNNNNNNNNNNNNNNNNNNNNNNNNNNNNNNNNNNNNNNNNNNNNNAAGUAUUUCCCUCAGUUUGAGAACCAAGGUAACGAUCCAGUGAAGGAGUAUCACAAGAGCCUACACAAACACAAAGAACCUGCUCCCAACGCUAUGAAGGGGUUGUCAAUCCCUUAUAGAUUGUUCGCCAAGUGAGAACUGAAAGCAACAAAGUAACAAAGCAAAGUAAAAGCGUAGGUCUAAACGGUAGAUGUGAAUAGACCCGGGGGCCGUAGUGUUUACUAGUGGCUUCUCUCAUGAAAGCAAGUAGACGGUGGGUGAACAAAUUACCCUCGAGCAAUUGAUAGAACCGCGCAAAGUCGUGACGUCAUCUAUGGCAAUGAUUAUAUCUAUAGGCAUCACGUCCAAAACAAGUAGAACGAUACUUUCUGCAUCUACUACUAUUACUCCACACGUCGACCGCUAUCCAGCAUGCAUCUAGUAUAUUAAGGCCAAAAGAACAGAGUAACGCCUUAAGCAAGAUGACAUGAUGUAGAUGGACAAUCUCAUAUCAACGACAGAGCCCACCUUGUUACCCUUGAUGGCAACCAAUCAAUGUGUGCCUUGCUGCCCCUACUAUCUAGGGAUGGCAAUUUUGCCCAUGGAUUCAGAUAUCCACGGAUACCCGACCCGGUUGGGCAAGGGUAUGGAGCGCAUUUCUGUCCAUGGAUUCAUGGAUUUGGAUAUCCACGAAUAGGCGGGUUGGACACCGUUAUAAUUUCUGCUCCAUGGAUAUCCAUUGGAUACCCAUGUAAUAGAGAGGGCCAUAUGACAGUGACACUGAGGCUAAGGAAUUUUUUCAACCCAAGUCAUUUGCAACCAUAUUGAUUCAGAAAAGGUCAAAACGGCCCACGUUCCCUAAUCCCCGCAACCUAAUUAUAGUAUACCUAAUUUACAUUGGCUGCCCUGCAUCAAGCCAUCAACCCACAUCGCGUCAAUUGUGCUCAAACCCAUAUCUGAAACCCCAAUCGUGCUCCUCCCUUAGUCCCCAUCGCGGCGAGCCGGCGACGGCACCGAGCGCCACAACCCGUGCUCCUCCUCCCUCAGUCCCCAUCGCGGCGAGCCGGCGACGGCACUGAGCGCCACAACCCGUGCUCCUCCUCCCUUAGUCCCCAUCGCGGCGAGCCGGCGACGGCACCGAGCGGCACAACCCGUGCUCCUCCGGUCCUCCCUUAGUCCCCUUCGCGGCGACUGGACUCAGCCUCAGCGGACAACAUCACCGACUGGACUCAGCAUCCGCGACAACCCUGGCCCCCACAUCAGCGACUGGACUCAGCAUCGGCGGACAGCAUCGGGGGCGGCCUCGUUUCACUCCAUCUCUGCCUCUCUCCUUCCCCAAUCGGCGACCAGCAUCAGCAAUCGCUUCCUCGACAGGUAUGCUCCGUCCCACUCCCUCUCUCC